rnacentral:lncRNA from 1 species
UUGUCAAAAAGACUUGAAUGUUCUUAUCCUAAAAUAAGUUCCAUUAAAACAGUCAUAAUAUUUAUGGCAUGGUCCUACUUAAACCAGUAAAAUCUCUUGAACUAAUUUAAAGGUUCAAUCCUGCUCACAUGAGUAAGGAGAGGAUAGGGUAUUUGUUUAAAUUUUAUUGUAUUGAAUUUCGCACUUUCAAUACUUCUACGUAGUUAUUACGAUUUCAUCAAGUUUACGAUGUUAAUGAUCAAACAGUACACUUUCUAAACUAACUAAAAUAGUACCUAGCUAGCUAAUUAGAUAACGGAUUAAUGGAAUAGAUGUGGAUGUCUAGUUUUAGAGUUUGAUUUUUUUUUUAAAAUUAAUCAAAGAAAACAUAUUUUUAAUUUUGGGUUAUUGUACUAUUAAUUAAUAAUUUAAUUAAAAAAAUUUAUUUAUUUGCUUUCAUUCUAGUUGUUGAAAAUGCCUUUAAUAGGGGUUGGUUCAAUAUUUGGUUAGACUCUGAUUUCAUGCCGGCGAUCCAACUCCUUCUCUUCAUCCCUCUUUGACCAUUUGCAAUGUACUUGCAUUGCAAAUGUCUGUAGUCAAACUUGGGUCUUCAAUGUACUCACAUCCCUUGGUAGGAUUUCUCUCCUUCAAAGAUUAACGCUCUUUCUUCUCGAGAUGCAAAUGGCUUUUCAAAUUGUCAUUUUUGUUAAUAUAGGUCCUACAUUCAUGGUUUUCCUUAAGAUUUUAUAUCAUCUUAGCUUUAUGCAUUUAAAGAGUGAGAUUUUAUAUCACCUUAGCUUUAUGCAUUUAAUGAGGGAUAGGGUUUACUAUAUCCCCUAAUUAAUUGUGUUAAGUCUAUUUUUUAUAGAGUUGACAUCUUAUGGCAAGUUUGGUAAAUUGAAAUUUUAUUUACUGAAUUUCAUGUAAUAGUGAAAUGGCCCGCCCCGAACCCCAGGGUGAGUCUAUUUAAUCUCAUCAAAACUGGAUUGAUAAUAAUCUAAUUAGUGAAAAUUCUGUCGAAAAUUCGGCAAAGUCUCCUUUAUAAAUAUAACACUCCCAAUCUGAAAAUAUGUAAAACAAGCACUUCCAAAAUAAUUCAAUUUAUAAUAAACUCCAAUGAUCAACAUCCUCAACCAAAAUGCUGAGUGUUUCUCAAGAUAUCUCUAGAGUCUCAAAGGAUAAUAUUAUAAUUAAUAUUAAUAUACCUCAGUUUAUUCUUAAUCCCAAAAGAACAAGAUAACCAGGAUGUCCUAACAAAAAGCAUCUAUAUCUUCUAACACCAUCACGUGGCCAAGACUCAAAAUACUUCUGAAGAGGCAACGUCCCACCAAAAAAAAAAAAAUUUUGAUUUAAUGUGUUACUAACAAUCUAUCCAGGGAAAAAAAAAUUCUUUAAUAGGAUCUAUCGAACUUGACCUGUGUUUAUAUUUCCUUUCAUUUUCCAUAAUUUGUCAUCUAAUGGGUCAAUGAAUUAAUUUGCUUCUUUUUUUGUUCUCCUUUCCCCACUUGUAUUUCCCUUCACGGCCAGUUGACUAUUCUGCAUACUCGAGUGUGUGUCAUUGUCUUGAUGACUUUUCACUACAACUCUAAAAUUAUCACUGUUACUCUUCUUUGUAAACUACGCACUCGAUGGUUGAGCGAUGACGCCUCCACAACUUAAUUAUUCUUAGCCGAGCUGCCAAUGCGCCAAUUUGUAAUGAGCUUUAGCUGAUGGUUUCUGAGAUGGGCUCUAAUUAGUGCACCUAAAAUGUAACAAAUAUCUCACGUUAACAACCCAAAAUUCCAUAAUUUCAUGCAAAAUCAUUCUAGAAGUUAAAAUUAGGUGUUAAUCCGACACAAACACCAGAAAUAUUAAUGAAAUUUGGAUUUACUAAAAUUGGCAUGAUUUUUUAAUUUAGAUCAAUUAAACAUAUUUUUAAUUUUUAUAGUGUCGGAUUCACUAUAAGUCGUCAUAAAUCAUUAUCAACAGACGUUCAAGGCCCGCGGAUAAAGACUCAAGACUAGAAUUAGAAGUCUUCCAGUAUCAAUCAGUCUUAGGUGAUGGCAAGCUCGAUUUCAGUCAAGUGGUUUAGGUCUUUGCAUGUUCUAUGCAUAUGUCGUGUCAGAAAAUUCUUUCUUAGUUCUAAGCCAACUAAAGUUGAAUUCGCCAUAUCAUUAUAAUGGAUGUUAAUGUUGCUAACUUGGAGUCAAAGUCAUGCGUUGAUUGCAUUUGUAUUGUCUAUAUGACUAGGACGUGGCAAAGGCUCAUGGAAUAAAUCUGCUUCUUUUUUCUCCUUUCCGCACUACCACCAGUUGACUUAACUUUUCCUUCACGGCAUGCUGAAUGAGAUCUUCUACUCCAUCAGUGCAUUUAGGAUUCGAUUUCUAAUUUGUCCGAAGUCUCUGCAUUUUCUUGAACUCUCUACUCUUCCUCGUGUAAUUAAGGAGGAUUAAAGUAAAAGAAAAGGGUAGAACCAGAUAUUCCUAUUUGUUGCACUAACUAUCAGAUUUCCAUAUUAUAGUAAUUAUUGGCCAAAAACAUAAUUUUUUAUUUAAAUUGUCAAAAAGACUUGAAUGUUCUCAUCCUAAAAUAAGUUCCGUUAAAACAAUCAUAAUAGUUAUGGAAUGUUUAUAACUAGAAUGAAUGCUCCUACUUAAACUAGUAAAAUCUCUUGAACUAAUUUAAAGGUUCAAUCCUGCUCACAUGAGUAAGGAGAGGAGAGGGGAUUUGUUUAAAUUUUAUUGUAUUGAAUUUCGCACUUUCAAUACUUCUACGUAGUUAUUACGAUUUUAUCAAGUUUACGAUGCUAAUGAUCAAACAGUACACUUUCUAAACUAACUAAAAUAGUACCUAGCUAGCUAAUUAGAUAACGGAUUAAUGGAAUAGAUGUGGAUGUCUAAUUUUUGAGUUUGAAUUUUUUUUAAAAAUUAAUCAAAGAAAACAUAUUUUUAAUUUUGAGUUAUUGUACUAUUAACUAAUAAUUUAAUUGAAAAUUUAUUUAUUUGCUAUCAUUCUAGUUGUUGAAAAUGCCUUUAAUAGGGGUUGGUUCAAUAUUUGGUUGGAGUCUCCGAUUUCAUGGUGGCGGUCCAACUCCUUCUCUUCAUCCCUCUUUGACCAUUUGCAAUGUACUUGCAUUGCAAAUUUCUGUAGUCAAACUUGGGUCUUCAAUGUAGUCACAUCCCUUGGUAGGAUUUCUCUCCUUCAAAGAUUAACGCACUUUCUUCUCGAGAUGCAAAUGGCUUUUCAAAUUGUCAUUUUUUUUAACGUGGGUCCUACAUUCACUAUUAGAAAAAUGGGCUACCAUGACAGAAUUUUUAUGAUAAAUAUUAGAAAAUUAGUCAUUUAUCACAAGAAUGUGAUAGACACAUGAAAGAAUUUUCAUACAUCAUAAAGCCAUGUCAGAUUUGUGAUAGAGUUUUUAUAUAUCAGAUAAACAUGAUAGCAUAUAAAUAUUUAAUCAAACCGUGAGUUUCAGAUGGAAUUAAUUUGGGCAUGAAACGACACCGUUUAACAGAUUUAAAAAAUUUUAAAAAUAAAAAUAUUUAUUUAAUAUUUAAACGCUAUCAUUUAACUAUAUUGACUAAACCACAAAAAAAUUAAGUGUUGGCACCUUUGACUUAUCACUUCAUCAGCAAGGGCUGAGAAACCAAAGCAGUGAAACCCCUCAAAAUCUAAAAUUAACCUAUUUUAAUCUACAAAUUGGUUUUGAAACCCAUUGCAUGGAAACCAAAAUCAUAGUAUAUGCUAUUGAAGGAGCCUUCGUGUCCUUAUUUUAAACCCCCAUUAUUUUGAACCGAUUGGUUUUAGGCACAAAAUCACCACACACGCUCAUUGCUGCGCCUUCGCGUCCAUUAUUGAAGCCGUCGGUGUCACUACUUCUUUGUAUUGUUCAAUCGGCGUUAGAGAAGCCAUCCUGUAAUUGUUUAAUCCCUAGGUUUGUCAUCAAUUAACUUUUUUAAUUUUUAUUCUGAAUAAAUCAAUUGGCCAUUAUAAAAUUAAUUGUUAGUUUUGUUGUUAUCUCCCUUAUUUGUUCAUAAUUUAUGCCCUUUGUUUUGGGAGUUAUAUUAUGAAUGGUUUAUGUUUAUUAUUUAUUUAUUUUAAUUCUUGUUUGUUUCUGUUGUUAUAUAUAUAUUUUUAGUUCAAGAAGCUUAUACUUUGUCCUUUUAUUAAAUCUAGAAAUUGCUCAAUCAUUUAAUUUAGCAUGUCCUCUUCUUUUUUAACAAAAUUUUUUUGUUCUGAAUCGCAAGAUCUCACUGCCCUGUUCGCUUUCAAACUCGAUUUCUAACAUCACGUUUGUUCAAUUUUUUACUUGCCUUUCCGUUCAAUGUUUAAAAAAUGUUUGCUGGUAAUGGUUUGUUUGUUAUAUUCUAUAAUUUUUCAGUCAAAGCUUGCAUGUGUGUGAAGUGAUUUUGGUUGAUGAUAUAGCACUUUUCAUUUACUAGUGUCUUUUAUUAGGAUGAAGCUGAAACUGUGGUCCAAUGGUGUUGGCAUUUUUUUUAAUGAUUGUGAGCCAGAUUUUGUGUAUUUUAUUGAGUUACAAAGUAAGGCCCCCUUUUUCAAUUGUCUUUUUUAUGUUUGAAGGAAGUGGUACCAUGUGGGGGCAAGUUUGGUCAUGUGGACCAAGUAAUGUUUAGUUGCUUAUCUAUAUAUAGUCUUGUGGUCCAUGAAAUGCUGGAUUGUUAGAAUUUUUUUUAAAAUAAAUGUUAAAUGUAUAUAGGCCAAGUUAUUUAGGAUAUUAUUAGUUGGGUAUGGUUAGUCGGUGAUUUUGGUAAAUGAUGAUAGCAUGUUGGUAAAUGAUGAUAGCACAUGAUGACAAGUUUUGUUUUAAACUUAUUUAUUUUAUUAAAUUUAUAAACUGAAUAUUAAUAAUGUUUUGUUGCUUAAUUUAUUGAUAAUGAAAACCGUUUAUCAUUGUUGCCCAUUAGUACAUUAUGUUGAAAUUUAUCUCAAUUAUAUGUCAGGCACUAGACAAAAUAUGGAUAAAUCUUGGCUUAAAUAUGAUAGAUUGUCCGAUGAGUAUAAGGCUAGUGUGGAAAAAUUUAUUAAGACCACAGUUGAAAGUAAUCAAGAAAUUAGUGUUGUUAGGUGUCCAUGUGAUAAAUGUCGGAAUUUAGCAUUUCAUAGGCCUAAAGAAGUGAAAGAUUAUUUAAUUAUAUGGGGUUUUGUUACGUCAUACAAAACAUGGGUUUGGCAUGGGGAAGAUAUCUGUAACAAAUCUCUUGACAAUAUAGGUUGCCAAAAUGACAGUGGAUAUAUGGAUUAUGAUGGUGGUAAUAUUGUUGAAAUGGUUGAAGAUGCUUUUAAGGAUUGUGAUAGUGAUCCUAAAGCAUUCAAAAAACUAUUAGAAGAUUCUGAAAAGCCUUUGUACCUUGGAUUAAACAAAUUUACCCAGUUAUCAGCUUUAGUUAAAUUGUACAAUAUAAAGGGCAGAUAUGGGUGGUCUAAUAGUAGCUUUUCAGAUUUGUCGAGUGCUCUUUCUAACAUGUUACCGGAAGGAAAUGAAUUGCUUGUAUCAAUGUAUGAGGCCAAAAAGACAAUGAGUGCUUUAGGCUUAGAGUUAUAAAAAUUCAUGCUUGUGCAAAUGAUUGUAUACUCUAUAGAAAAGAGUAUGAAAGCCUUUCUAAUUGUCCUACAUGCUGCUUAUAGGAAGGAGGUUCCUGCAAAAGUGUUAUGGUAUUUCCCUUUUAUACCUAGAUUUAGGUGUAUGUUUCAGUCCUCACAAACUGCCAAAGACUUGACUUGACAUGUAAAUGAGAGGGAAAUAGAUAUUAAGCUUCGACAUCCAAUUGACUCACCCGCAUGGAAGUUAGUUGAUGAAAAAUUGCCUACCUUUGCAUUAGAGCCUAGAAAUCUACGUCUUGCCCUAUCAGCUGAUGGCAUUAAUCCUCAUAGCUCUCUUAGUAGUACGUAUAGUUGCUGGCCGAUUCUUCUUGUAACAUACAAUCUUUGAAACAACCCGCCCCGAACCCCCGGGGAUGAGUCUAUCUAAUCUCGCCUAAACGAAUUAAUAAUAAUUAUAAUAUCUAAGAAUUCUACCAAAAAUCUAGCAAAGUCUCAUAUAUAAUUAUGACAUCCCCAAACUUGCAAUUUAUAAAAUUAAACCUGCAAUUUAUAAAAUUAACGCUCCCAAAAAUGAUACAAUAUUCAAUCAACCUCCACAACCAACUUCCUCAAUCAAACACCAAUAUUCUUCAAACAUAUAAUGUCAAGAAUACAAUAAUUUAUCCUUAAUCACAAAUAAAUAAUAAAUUAUACAAUUCAAAAUAUCCCAACAAAACAUCUAUGAUUCCUAACACCAUCAUGUAGUCAUAAUUUCAAAUCUAACUAUCGUUGCUGGGUCGACUGAUGUACCUGCAAAUCUCCUGUGGGGGGAAAAAAUAUAAUAAAAACGGGAUGAAUAUAAAACUCAGUGAGCUCAGUGAGUGGAUAGUAAUUUUUGAAAAAAUAAAUUUAUUUAAAAUGAUUUAAUCUUUCCCAAAUCAAUUUCAUCAAAAAUAUCAUAAGAACUUACAUAAACUUAUUUAAUUCAAAUCAUGCACUGAAAUAACAAUAUUACAUAAAUAUGCGUAAAAUCAAUGAAAUCAUAAUACUUAUGAUAUCAAAUACUGAAUACCAAAAACUAUCACCAAACAAGUACCCAGGAGAAUAAUCUCAUCAUAUUCGGACCUCGACGGACGGGCAAUCAGGGAACCAUCAUGCCUCGGAGUUACAACAGAUAGACGGGGAAAUGUCAUAUCAUAUCUCAUAUAUCUCAUUAUAUCUGUGCAUGCAUAAUCUGGUCCCUAAAUGACAAGGCACCCAAGCACACGGCCCAAAGUCUCUGUGUGUAUUCAGACGGGCCCUAAAGGCCUAUAUCUCAUCUGUAUCAUCAUAUCUCGUCUGUAUCAUCAUAUCUCGUCUGUAUCAUCAUAUCUCAUUUGUAUCAUCUGUAACUCAAUAUUUGUAUCUCUGUAAUCACCAUACUGCAUGCAUAUUCCCCCAAAAGGCAAAAGCGCCCAAACACACGGCCCAAAGCCUCUAUGUGUGUUCAGACGGGCCCCAAAGGCCUCUCAUCUAAUAUCAUAUGUAUCACUGUAUCUGGAGGCGAUGGGUACUGUCCAAUGAUUUUCUAAACAACCUUUUACACACAUGUACAUAAACAUAUAAUCACAUCUGAAUUCGCAUUACCUUUUUAUUCAACAUACUCAAUUCCACUCAAUUCUCUUUAAAACUAUUAUCAUGAAUUUACUCAAAAGCGAUAAUAAAAUCAUUAAUCAAACUCAUUCUUAAUAAUAAUAAAUAUCAGCACGCAGAAAAAAAUCCAUUUUCUAGAAAAUCAUUAAAUCGAAGCAUCAAAUACUUAUUAUCAAAACAUGUUGUAUUGUAUAGUAAAAUCAUAAUAUACUAUAAAAAUAGGUUUUAUAUAUUCCACUCAGAGUGAUGACGUCCAAACUCGGUAUUAACAAUAUUCAUGGGUUGAUUCUCGUGCGCGGGUCCUCCUAAUCAAGAAAAUGACAUAAUCAUUCUCUAUAAAUUUGAAAUAUAACUAAUUUUACAUAAUAAUUCUCGAAACAAAUAUCUAACCACAAUAAACUAUUCCCGCAUGCACAAAAUUACCAAAAUACCCCUAUAUGCCAAAAUUACCAAAAUACCCCUAACAUCAUUAUUUUACAAAAUUAUCCUCAGAAUCUUCAAUUACCAAACUAUCCUCAAUUCAGAUCACAAAAAUAACCACAAUGUCAGAAAAUUACAAAAUUACGUUGGAGUGUAAAAUUACCAAAAUACCCAACAACGUAAAUUAUUGAAUUACCCCCAAAAUCUCAAAUUACCUAAUUGUCCUAGUCCGAAAUUACAAAAUUAUCCACCGAUUCCAAAAAUUACAAAUUUAUCCUCGAAGUUUAUGAAAUUACUGAAUUACCCCCAUCGGUCCACGGUGACCGGAGUUCAGUCAACGCGACGUGAAGCUCAGGUCUAAUAGUUUUGACCACGCUGAGUCCAAUGGUGGUGGCUGUGAGUUCCCACGCACGGUGACAGUGGCGGAUCGAGCUUCCCAAUCUGCGAGCUUUCUGGUGGUCGAUCGGUGGAAUUUCGACCGUUUCAGGAGGCGAGGUUGGUCGGAAAAUGAUAAGGGUUAGGUGAGGAUCAAGAUCCAGGCAGUGGCAUCACCCAAAAUUGGCGGAGUUAACGGUGACGAAAACGGGUUGAGCUGCGGGUUUUCCGAGCUUGAUCACCGGUGUUCUCGUUGUUUUCCAACGACGAGGAAGGUAAGGGUAUGACCAGUGUCUCACAAGCUUUCUAUCCGUACCUUGCUCGGCCGGUGAGGUGGCCAAAAAUGGAAGUUACGAUAGGGUCAGGGUUGCGGGUUUCGGGUCGAAUUCGGGUCAAAAUCGGGUCUAUCUCUCUCCCGCGCCCUCUCACAUCUUUCCUUUUUUUGAAACCGGCUCCCUUCUUUCAAUUUAUAGAAACUAGCUUUUUUUUUUAACUUACUUCGAAUUAAGCCAAUGUCAAACCCGUGUUGAAAUAAAAUCCGACUACACAACCAUUGAAUCGUGUUUGAAAUGUCUCAAUUUUAUGUUGUGACAAAUUUAAAUUUAUUCAAAACACGAUCCAUUUAUUAGCUCGACCCGAAUCCAUUAAUUCAUGGUAAGAAAUCGACCCGCGUCAAGUUUGCUCGUAAUAAUUUGUAGCCAAUCUGAUGACUUUAAAAUUAAUACUAAAAUGAAAAACACAUAAUACACUUAACUAGGAAAAAUUAAGGUGCAUAUAUUAUAAUCCUCCCCCGUAUAAAAAUUUUGUCCUCGAAAUUUACACAUCUGAUGAGAACAGGUGAGGGUAUUGGGCUCGCAUUAAGUCUUCGCGUUCCGAAGUAGCCUCUUCCCUUGUGUGAUUCCUCCACAACACUUUUAAGUUGUAUAUUCUCAUUAGUAUUCUAAACCAAUUCGGGACCAAAAAGCUUUCGCUCACCAACCUCAUCCCAACAUACGGGAGUUCUAUAUUUUUUGCCAUGCAAAGCCUCAUAAGGUGCCAUCUCGAUACUAGCUUGAUAACUGUUAUUAUAAGUAAACUCCAUCAAGGGUAAAUAAAUGUCCCAACUACCCUUAAAUUCCAAAACACAAGCUCGUAACAUAUCCUCCAGGGUUUGAAUAGUACGCUCUGACUGACCAUCAGUCUGUGGAUGAAAAGUUGUCCUAAAAUUCAGCUUGGUGCUUAAUGCCUUUUGCAAGCUUGUCCAGAACUUAGAAGUGAACUGGGAAUCUCUAUCUGAAACAAUAGACACAGGUGCUCCGUAAAGCUGAACCAUCUCGGCCACAAAAAUAUUCCCUAACUUGUCCAUCGAAUAGGUGGUCUUGAAUGGUAAAAAGUGAGCAGAUUUUGUAAGUCGAUCAAAAACCACCCAAACACUAUCAUGACCACCUUGGGUACAUGGAAGUCCCGCUACAAAAUCCAUGGUGAUGUGCUCCCACUUCGACUCAAGGAUCGGAAGCGGUUGCAAAAACCCUGCAGGUCUCUGAUGUUCAGCCUUAAUCUGCUUACAAACUAAACACCAAAAUACAAAUUCUGCUAUCUCUCUCUUCAUAACUUGCCAUCGGUAAUGAUCCCUCAAGGUACGAUAUAUCUUCGUACUACCAGGAUGCAUUGUGUAAGCUGAAUAAUGAGCUUCUUCCAUGAUCUCCUUUUUCAGCUCCUUAAUAUUGGGUACACAAAGUCGAUUACCCAUAACUAAAACUCCAUCAUCUCUCACUACAAAAUCAGUUCGUAAGCCUUUCAGUACAUCCUCUCUUAACUUUAAUAAUUGUAUAUCCUGAUCUUGCAUCUGAUGUACUUUGUCAAUCAAAGUCGGCCUAACUCAAAAAUUAGCUAUCAAAGCUCUGCAAUUUUCAAUAUCCAACUCAACUCCCAAAGAUCUCAGCUCGAUCAAUAAAGGCAUAUAUGUCACUCACAAGUGAGCUAUAGAGCUGGAAGACUUCCUACUUAGCGCAUCAGCUACCACAUUCUCUUUGCCCGGAUGAUAAUCAAUAGUGCAAUCAUAGUCUUUAAUUAGCACAAUCCAUCUCCUCUACCUCAAAUUUAACUCUUUUAGAGUAAACAAAUACUUUAAUCUCUUGUGAUCAGUGAAAAUCUGGCAUGUUGCCCCGUAUAAAUAAUGCCUUCAUAUCUUGAGUGCAAAUACCACUGCUGCCAGCUCUAAAUCAUGAGUUGGGUAGUUUUGUUCAUGCUUUUUAAGUUGUCUAGAAGCAUAAGCCACUACUUUCCCAUAUUGCAUUAGCACACAACCCAAUCCUUGCCUGGAUGCAUCACUGUAUACUACAAACCCUUCAUUACCAGAAGGAAGUGUAAGAACUGGUGCUGAAGUAAGACCUGUCUUGAGUUCUUGAAAACUCUUUUCACAGUCAUCAUCCCACUGGAACUUAGCAUUUUUUUCUAGUUAAUCGUGUCAGAGGAGUAGCAAUCUUAGAGAAUCCCUUGUGCAAAUUUUAUUGAACUCGCAAGUGCACGAAUCUAUUGUAGAAUAUAGUAAUGGUGACGAGUGUCGAUCCCACGAGGAUGUGGAUUUUAAUUAUGUGUAAAAUUAAUUUUCUAAGUGGGUGGUUGGAUUUGUGGUGAAAAUGAUUUGGAAUAUUCUAAAAUUUAAAUUAGAAUGGCGGGAAUAAAUUAAAGCGAAGUCUAUUGAAAUGAAACACUUGGGUAUCUGGAUCUACAUCAACAUGUACCAUGAGCUAAAUAUUCCUUAUUAAUGUCAAUUAAAUCAUAAGGGGGGUUUUCACUUCUCAUGAACCACACUCUAAUCAAUAUGGUUCUAAGGGCUUAUCAUGCCAAAUAGUAAUAACCUUGCACUAGGGAGCCAGUUAUACCAGUGCGGUAUCUAGACAAGAUUAUUACUAUCUGUCGACGAAAAGUCAAAACAUCCACAUAAAUUAGAGGGGAAGAGAAAUAAAUUUACCAAAUCAAACCCAUGGAAUAUAUUGAGACUUCACCUUCAACCCAAGCUUGAAAGAAAAUUAGCUACUCAUAAUUGAAUUAGGGGUAAAAUGAGAAUUUAUUAAAAUACGUAGAAAAUACAAGAUGAAGAAGGAAUUAUAGAAAAUGGAGUUAAAAAAUGAAUUUAGGGGUCUCAAAUUAGGGGGGAGCCCCCUUUUUAUAGAUACACUGAGUAAAUCAUGGCCAUCGGAUUAAAAAUAAUUUGGACGCUCAGAAUUGCGCCACGUGUCAACAGUACGCGGUUUGACCAUGCGGUUUGAAUAGUGACGCGGUGUGAACAGUGAGGCGGCUUGAAUAGUGACACAGUUUAGUUAUAAAUAAUUUCGUGUAUAUGCAUGUACCGUACGCACGAUUUUUGGUCCACUAACAUACUGCCAUGUCACCGAAACAGUACAUAAAAAUUUUAGUCCAAUAGGAUCGUGACACCUCAUCAGUUAAUGUCACGUCAUCGAUCAAUGCCACGUCAUAGUUCCGUAUAUGUGAACAGUGUCGUAAACAGUAAUAUGGACAGUUUCGUACAUGUAAAUAGUGCCAUUUUUUUCUUUUAUGCUCCUCCUAAGAUUUUCGACUGUCCUGAGUUCAAAAGUGUUGUCCGUUUUACUGUCUGAUCUCUCGUUCAUUGUGAAAUGACCAUGAUGCCCCUAAAAUACAUAAAAUACUUAAUUAUAAUACAACACACAUAAUUAAAUCACAAGAGACUUAAAUACAUAAAAGUAGGGAUAUUAGUGAAAUUUGGAGUGUAAAUGACGAUUUUCUCCUAUAUAAAUAUAUAUUUUCUAACACUCAACACACCCCCCAACCAGCUUAUUGCUAGUCCCUAGUAAUUAAAGUGAAAACAAAAUUCAAACCCAAAAUGAUUUUUUUUUAAAAAACUCAUAUUUAUUGAAUCAGACUAAUGAUAGCAAUCAAAUAAAAGUAUAAGCAUUAUCUUUAGUAUAAAGGAAUAUCACUCCCACAUCAACCAUCCACAUGAAUCAGUCAAGUAGACUUUGUCACAGCUACUUUCAAGAAUGAUAUGUGAAACCCCAAAAUCUCAUUGGAAGUAGUGACACUCUCACAAGGAAAUUAAACCCAAUAAAAAUAGUCACUCCAAUGAAUGUUAAAUUUGAGAGAAAAUAAUAAAGAAGUAAUAUCACACGCUCUCACCAAGAUAAAAGAAAUAUGCCCACAACUUAGAAAUAAUACGAUCUUAAGUCAAAUAAAAUGCUAGUCAACCCAAUUUUUUUUUUUAAUGCACCACUACAUCUUUUUAGCUCAUAUAACUAGCUUCUACUUCAGACUAUAGAUCCCUAAAAUAAAGAAGGGCUUUUAUUAGGAUGUAACGUAGUAUAGGAACAUGGUUAACAAAAGAGGGGAAAUAAGGAAAACAAAAUAUAUGUUUGAGAAAAAGUAGAGAGCUUUUGGAAAUUACAAAGUGCAUUUCGCUUAUUUAUUAUUAUUGUUAUUUUUUUCUUUUUCUCUCUUUUUUUUUUGAAACAAAAUUUUUUUGUUUUGUUUUGUCUUUUGUAUGGCACAACUUCACUGAACAAAAUAGUUAUUUACAUUGUUCUCAAACAUAAAUAGGUGAUGAAACUUGUAAGAUAUCAGGUAAUACUCUAAAUCAGAGAUGGUCAAGAGGAUAAGUUGACAAAGAAAUUUUUUUUUUUUUAAUAUAUAUGAAAGGCUCAAAAGGGUUAACUAUGGAUAUUUCACAAAAGGGAUGACUAGAAAAGCUCAAACGGGUCAAAGAUGACCUUUUUAUCAUCUUUUAGGGCUCUAAAUAAUCUUCCAUAUCUACUAGUUAGAUGGACCUUCAGAUGUAGCGACACAUUUUUUUUUCUCUUUUUUUUUUAGAGGAUUGACUCAAAAGAAAUCUAGAGAUCGUGUACAAAAUAAUAAACUGCUAAGCUGUAUGAGGAAUGGGCAAAAAUGGUUACUCUCCAAAAAAAAUGACAGGCUAAAAAAUUCACUUAGUUUUCAUUAUGACAUGUACAUUCCUUCAAGCAACUCAUAUUUGUCUCCGACAUCAACAUGUAGAGUAGCAAACAUGGCGUAACAUCACUUAAGACCAAAGAUAAUACAAAUACUAAAAUUUGAAAGUCAUCAUGUCAUCCAAUGUUAAAAAAAAUCACACAAUUUUUUUUUUUUUUAGGUUCAAACGACAUUCUACCCCCCAACCUAUUCUAAACAUGAAAAUAAAAUAUGCAUGUAGAAAGGUGAAAAUGAUGCAGAAAAACUAAUUAGAAAGGUUACACUUAAAAUGAUAGAAAAAGGAAAUGUUUGAAAUUUUUUUUUUACCUAAGAAGAUGUGUUUCUAGAGUCAUUACACUCAAUAUUCAGCCAUCUUCAAAUCAAAAAUUUGAAAGUAUAUAUUUAUAAAUGAGAAAUUAGAAAAAAGAAGUUAGAAAAAAUUGAUUGUCAAAGCUUAAUAAAGAAAAUGUUUGGAUUUUUUAUUUUUAUUUUUACUUCCAAACCAAGAAGAUGUGUUUCUAGAGUCAUUACACUCCAUAUUCAGCCAUCUUUAACACAAAAAGUUAGUCACGGUUAGUCUCUACAACAAAAAAAAUAAGUAAAAACUUAACCAAGAUUCCACAAUUGUCAACUAUUCCCUCCCCCCAACCAGAAUGAAACAUUGUCCUCAAUGUUUUAAAGGAAAGAAGUAGAGUUUAGAAGACAUUACCUGGGUGGUGCAACACAUAAGAAAAUAUUUACAAGCGGAGAGUUAAAUCUAAUUUACACUUCUUACUGCUGCUACUGUUCCCAUCAUUAUUUGGACACUCCAACACCAAGGUCCUGGGAUCUGGGUCUGGUUGAUAAGCUUGUAACAGAUCAAGUAGCUCAUUAGCAGUAUGAACACAAAUAAAAACGUUUUUCGCUGUGGAAUGAAUGAAAUAGUUUUUUAUUGCAUGGUUAAUAAAUGAGAUGAAGCCAUCAUAAAAAUUAUUGACAUUUAACAAACUAAUCGAUUUUUGGUGAAUGUUCAGAUGGACCCAAGAUGCUAAUGUGAUAAGUGCCUCUAGAGUUGCAAGAUCUCCUGGUAGGAAAAUAAAAGCAUCAAUAUGAUUUAGCAUUUCAUUUAUUCUCUCUUGCAUAACUGAGACUACUAACUCUUCUCCAGUCGGUGAGUCAGACAAACUACGCAAAGGCUUUAAGGCUCUUGGGAUGAUGCCUAACACUUGGCUUCCUCUAACAAAAGCAGCUUCUGAGACCAAUUUUGAUAGCCCUCGGUUACCUCCUCCAUACAAUAAGUGUAAUUUUCUCUCUGUUAUGCUUCGACCAAGAUCUAUGGCUGCCUCAACGAACUCUUUAUGUUUGCCACAGUUAAAUUUAGAAAGCACACAAAUAUUUUUGAAUUGCUUAUUGGGAGUAGCUGCCAUUAGGAUACUUCUAGAAAACAAUGUGUGUGUGCUUAACAAAAAAUCAUUUUUAAAAAUCUUGGUGACAGUGGGUCACAGCUUUGUAUGAGGUAGCAUGUCUGUGUUUAGUAACGCGUAAAGCACAUGGCUCGAGAAUAAAAAAGGAAACAAUAAAAAGGAAAAAAAACAAUGUUAAAAUAAAAUUAUUAAAUACAAUAAUGCAAAUGAUAAAACAACAGUGAAAUAAAACAAUAGUGAAGUAAAAGGAUAUUUACAGGUAGUUGUGACUGUAGCUCACAUCUUCCUCUAGUUUUACGUCUAGAAAUGGCUUGAACGCCCUCUAUGGGUCGAGGAUGGGCUUCCCAUCCAAUUUUCUUAUAAACUGGAAAACAUGGUUAUAAUUAGAUUCCCGAGACUAUAUAGUGCACGCUCUUUCUGGAAUAAUGGCCACAACUGGAGAAUUGCUCCUUGUACAUAUCCACUGGGAUGCGUUUCAAGAGACAAAAGGAUAUCAUCCAAUGAUUAUUUAUUCAAGCCAUCCCUAAUGAAUUGAAUCUUAUAUUCCCUAUUAUUAGACAUCAUUCCUAAAGAACAUCAUUUUUUAUCGCAUCUCAUUCUGGUACACUUAUGACAAGCAACAAAAAGUCUUCGAGCUUUUCGUUUUCUUGUAUUAUUUCCUUUACCACAACCACACAUGUAUGCAAUAAAUUUAGGAGGCAACUCACCUGCCAAUCGUACCUUGGCCUCGAUUAACUAGCGGAUGUCAGCAGGUAUGUUAUUCCUCAUAAGCAAUCGCAUGCGUUCGAACCGAGAUUUAUAGAUUGUAAAGAUUGUGAAGCUUUGCUAAAAUCUUAUUUUUGUCCAUACUUUGCCUUAGAAUAUUAGUUAUUAUGGGAAACUGAAGUAACCGACUUGAUUGUCACGGAGUACUGUUAUUCGCCACUUAACCGGGUAACAAACUAAAGUACACAAACAAAGUAACAAACUAAAACACACAAAGAAAAUUACAAUCAUCCUCUUAUUGAAUUUACCUCAAGCUCCAACUGGAUGUCGAAGAUACCUGCCUCAAUGUCUCUGAGUUGUCUUUCUAAAGCCUCAACAUGAGAUACUAACUCUGGUGGUUGUAGAUCCCAAAUAUGAUGUGUUUUACAAAAUCGAAUCUGGCUUCUGAGAUGAGAUUUUACACAUUCAAGUCGUCUAAGAAGGUCCAAGAGGAUUUGUUUAACUGAGGCACUUAUGCUUAACAAUGAUAAAAUAAAACUUAAUGGUUAAAUAAAUACACUUAUGCAAAAAUAAUUUCAAUUAGCAAAAGAAUAGUAAAAAGAAAGAAAAAAAAAUCAAAUCACCGUAAAGAAAGAAAAAUCUCUAUUCAAAUUUGGUGGGUCACUCAGAUUUAUUUCAGUGUCCUCUCCAUGUUGUUGGUACUCUAGAUAUGCCUUUAAUAUUUGACCAUUAACUUUAAAAGUGACACCGUUCUUUGGAUCCUUAAUUUCAAUUGCUUAAUGUGGAAAAACAGUGUGAAUAAUAAAAUGGCCAGACCAUCGAGAGUGUAACUUACCUUGGAAUAAGUGUAAGCGAGAAUUGAAUAAAAGCACUUUUGACCUGGAGUGAAAGAUUUUCUCAUAAUUUGCUUGUCAUGAAAGACUUUCAUUCGCUGCUUGUAAAUCUUGGCUUUUUCGUAUGCAUCAUUGCGAAUUUCUUCAAGUUCUGCCAGCUGUAAUAUUCUUUCUGAGCUAGCUUGCUACAUGUUAAAGUUGAAUUUCUUGAUGGCCCAGUACGCACGAUGCUCGAGUUCUACAGGUAGGUGGCAAGUUUUUCCAUACACUGGCCUGUAGGGUGACAUCCCAAUCGAGGUCUUGAAAGCCGUUCUAUAUGCCCAUAAUGCAUCAUCGAGUCUUAAUGACCAAUCUUUUCUGUCUGGCUUCACCGUCUUUUCUAAUACGUGUUUUAUUUCUCGAUUAGAGAUCUCAACUUGGCUAUUGGUUUGCCGAUGAUAUGGGGUCGCCACUUUGUGAGUGAUGGAAUAAUUUGUCAAAAGAACUUUGAAUGCUUUGUUACAAAAGUGGGCACCACCAUCACUGAUUAUUGCUCGAGGGAAUCCAAAGCAUGAAACGAUGUUGCUUUUCAAAAAUCCUAUCACCACCUUGUGAUUAUUGGUUCUACAUGGAAUUGCUUCUACUCAUUUUGAUACGUAGUUAACAGCAACCAAUAUGUAUUGAUGGCUAAAAGAAGGGGGAAAGGGUCCCAUGAAGUCGAUACCCCAUACAUUAAAAAUUUCAACCACUAAAAAUGGGUUUAGUGGCAACAUAUUCCUUCGUGUAAUGCUCCCCAUUCGUUGACACCUAUCACAUGAAGAGCAGAAAGUGUAAGCAUAUCGAAAUAUAGUUGGCCAAUAGAAACCACAUUGUAAAACUUUAGUAGUUGUUUUCUUAGCGCUGAAAUGGCCUCCACAAGCUUGUUCAUGAUAGAAUGAAAUUCUUUAUUUCCAUAAAAAAUUUGGCUUUAUCUUGCUUGGUCCAAUGCUCUGGAAGUUGACCUAUAACAAGAUAAUUAACGAUAUCAGAAUACCAUGGUAAUGCUUCCACACUCAUUAAUUAUUCAUCUGGAAGUGAUUUAUUCAAUGGUAAUGGUUCUGUAAUUGUGUUAAAAUUGAGACGAGAGAGAUAGUCAGCCACAACAUUUUCUGUGCCUUUUUUAUCUUUGAAUUCCAAGUCAAAUUCCUGCAAAAGUAACACCCAACGAAUUAGUCUAACUUUUUCAUCUUUCUUUGUGACAAGAUAUUUAAGAGCAACAUGAUCUGUGAAUACAAGUAUUUUACCACCAAUGAGAUAAGAUUGAAAAUUCUCUAAUGCAAACACUACUGUUAAUAUUUCUUUUUCAGUAAUUGAAUAAUUCAACUAUGCAUCAUUCAAUGUCAUACUAGCAUAGUAAAUAAUAUGGGGAUUCGAUCAACUCUGUCCUAAUACUGCUCCUACUACAUAAUCAGAUGCAUCACACAUGAGCUCGAAUGGUAAGCUCCAGUUUGGGGGUUGAAUGAUGGGUGAUGAUAUCAACAAUUGCUUUAGUUUUCUAAAUGCCACAAGACAUGAAUCAUCAAAGAUAAAAUGUACAUCCUUAGCAAGUAGAUUGCAUAAAAGUCUAGAAACUUUGCUAAAAUUCUUAAUGAAACGUCUAUAAAAACCAGCAUGCCCAAGGAAAGAUCUUACUUCUCUAACUGUUUUAGGUGGAGGAAGAAUGGAAAUGAGAUCCACCUUGGCUUUAUCAACCUCAAUACCUUUGUAUGAAAUGAUGUGACCGAGAACAAUACCUUGUUUUACCAUAAAAUGACACUUCUCACAAUUUAAGACCAAGUUUUUCUCUAUACAUCUCUGCAAAACUAGUGUUAGAUGAUGUAAACAUUGAUCGAAUGAAUUACCAAAAAUAGAAAAGUCACCCAUAAAGACUUCAAGGAAUCGUUCAACCAUAUCAGAAAAAAUGCUUAAUAUGCAUCAUUGAAAUGUAGCAGGUGCAUUACAUAAUUCAAAUAGCAUCCUCCUAUAUGCAAAAGUGCCAAAAGGGCACGUGAAAGUGGUCUUCUCUUUAUCUUUUGGUGUUAUAUGAAUCUGAUUAUAUCAUGAGUAGCCAUCUAGAAAGCAAUAAAGUUCAUGGCCUACUAAUCUAUCAAUCAUUUGAUCGAUAAAUGGUAAAAGAAAAUGGUCUUUACAUGUGACAGAAUUCAACUUUCUAUAAUCAAUGCAUACACGCCAUCUUGUAGUCACUCUAGUGGGUAUUAAUUUAUUAUCAGAAUUGGUAACUACUGUGACUUCUGACUUUUUGGAGGACAACUUACACAGGACUGACCCAUGAACUAUUAGAAAUUGGGUAAAUGAUACCUGCAUCUAAUAGCUUAAGGACUUCAGUUCUAACAACUUCCUUCAUGUUAGGGUUCAACCGACGUUGCAUUUCCCUAGUAGGUUUAGCAUUUUCAUCAAGGUGAAUGUAAUGUAUGUAGUCUACUGGGUUUAUACCUUUUAUGUCGGCUAUGGUCCAUCAUAAUGCUCUUUUGUGCUCUUUUAAAACUUCCAACAACUUACCUUUUUGUUCGUCAUUUAGGGAUGAUGAGAUGAUUACUGACAAAGUGUUUUCUUCUCCCAAAAAUGCAUAUUCUAAAGGGUUGGGUAAUUGUUUGAGCUCGAAUUUCGGUGAUGAUUCUAAUGAUGGGUUGAGUUUCUUUUCUGAUGGUGCUAAUUGUUCAACUCUUGACUUCCAUUUAUUAGUAUCUGUUGAUAAAUCUUUUAAUCAAAUGCUAUUGAUGACAAUGUGCAAGUGUACACAACAAGUAAUAAAGUGAUGAAUAUUCAAGAUCAUCUCCAUAGGGAUUGAUGUUACUAGAAAUGUUACAGCAAGCACAAUAGUGCAAUCUAUCUUUAUUCCGGGAUGAACAAAUGUAAAGUUGGUUACUAUUAAAAUUAAUAGUUGUGAGAGAACAAAAUAAAACAAUGCAAUGAUAAAAUAAAUUAAAUAAAAAUGCGUCAAAGAAUCAAAUGAGAAUACGGUAGUUGAAUGAUCAAACUCUCUUUAUGGGCUGACUGUUUUUCACCAAGUUAACACCAGUUGCUACAACAAUUUCUAUAGCACUGGGCAAAAUUUAUUAUGCAUCCUCAGCUGUUGCCUAUUGGAAUCCUCAUAUCCUUAAGUAUCUUAGCAAUGACCAGUUACUAUUCUACCUACGGCAUGACAUUAUGAACAUUCAUUCUCUCCACCCUACAAGGUGAGUACCUAUGUCUAGUUUAUCACAAAUCUUAACUUCAAGUAUGGCCCUUAUGGGAUUCAAGAUAAACUUAAUACAAGAAACUUAAAUUAAGAUCAAGUAUUACUCUAAUAAUAUCCACUAAGACAUGCCAUUUUGCGGCUCUAUCUUAACUUGAACCAUUAAAUGGGUGGUCAACCAAAAUAACAGUUAUAAUAAUAGCUACUAGAGUAAAAUGCUACAGCAAUGAUAUAACAACUCAUAAGAACAGUCAAGAACUCAUUAGAUUGUUUGUCACUCAACUACAAGCAAGUUAAGUUCAUGUUCUUAAAGAGAAAAACAAACAACAACAUAUUGGUCAUGAAAUACAUUAUUUCAGUCAAAGAGUGAAGAAAAGGAUAAGUUGAGAACGGCAAAGAGUGAAUCCAAAUAACUCUGCUAGAUUCUUCAAUGAUGCUGCAUCUGCUCCCUUGAAUUCUGAUCUUCCUCUUCUUUUUCUCUCCAAUUUCUCCAAAUAAUUCCUUGCCGCCGUUUUAUGUGAUGCGCGCCUCCUUUUAUAACUGAAAACUAGAGUAAACAAAAGCUUCGGGCGUACAUGAGUCAAAUUAGAAAACUGCAGAUCGCAAUUCUGCAGCUGACCCGAGCUAAGUUUUCUCCUUCGGUGUUCUAGGAUUGCUACAGCAAUGGUCGCUUCAGUAAUGGCUAUAAUACUGCACUGUUCCCGGUUGUGUUUCACUUCUUUUGUGGCCAUAUUCUUUCUUCUUCUUGCUAGCCUAAUAUCUCAGCAUCCUUUCAUAUAUUAUAAACUUCUGAAAACCUAUAAUUAUGCACAUGUUUUGAGCACAAGUUACUUUAAAUCUAGCAAAACUUAUUAAGACUAAACUAAAAUGGAUGUUUAUGCAAAACAUAACCAAAGUAUAAUAAAAACACAUCAUUUACUCUUUAAGUGGUAUUGAUUUAAGUCUAGAAUUGCCGUAAUAACUCUCUUUUCAUAAAGUUAUCAGUGUCCAUGAAUGGUACUGAGUCAAGUAGGGCGUUGACCUCAUCGACUAAACUGUCAAUAUCAAAAUCCAAACCAAAGUGAAUUAAACAUGUUUGUAAAGGGUCAUCACUAAGGUUUGAAAGAAAAGUAUUAUCAACUAAUGCUUCUAUUAAAUCCACAUCAACAAUUCCAUCAUCUGCAUUGUGAGGUUGUUUGGCAAUGUUGAAGAUGUUUAGCUCCAAAGUCAUGUUGCCAAAGGACAAUUGCAUAUUUCAAGUCCUGCAUUGAAUGUGAGUAUUGACAGUUGCCAAGAAAGGUCGACCUAGGAUAAUGGGGAUGUGCUUCCUUGAAUCCUGGAUUGGUUGAGUGUCAAUUACAAUGAAAUCAACAGGAAAAUAAAACUUCUCUACCUGGAUAAGCACGUCCUCCACAAUACCACAAAGUAUUUUCAUGAACCGAUCUGCAAGCUGUAACACCACUGGAGUUUGGUGUAAUUCUCCCAGUCCAAGUUUUAUAAAUACUGAAUAGGGUAACAGAUUUACACUAGCUCAUAAAUCCAACAAAGCAUUCUUAAUUAUGUGGUUCCCUAUACUACAUGAGAUAGUGAGGGAGCCUGUGUCUUUGUAUUUUAGAGUAAUUUUGUGUUGGAGUAUAGAACUAACGUUUUCUGUUAAAAAGACCUUCUUUUGAACAUGAAUAUUUCUCUUUUUAGUACAAAGGUCUUUAAGAAACUUGGCAUAAAAUGACACUUAUUUUAUAGCAUCAAGUAAAUGGAUGUUAACACUUACUUGUUUGAAGAUUUCAAAAAUCUCACCUGUGGAUUUUCCCUUCUUUCCUUUAGCUAACUUCUGAGGAAAUUGAGCUUUAGGAACGUAUUCUCGCGGGUUGGUUUCUUCUUUCUCCUCCGAUAAUGAGUCUUCAACAUUUACAGGUACAAUUUGAUUUUUUUUUGUCACCAGCAUCUCCACUUUGUUGUUGACUUCUUUUCAUUUUCGCAAGGUCAUGACGGCUUUUACCUCUCUAUUCUGCCAUGGUGAACUGGUACUUGCUUCAUGCACUUCUUUAGGAUUAGGCACUGGUUGACUUGGAAAUUUAUCUUUCUCAACAGUUAUUGCCAGAGUUUGAACUGACAAGGCAAGUUGUCCCACCAUCUUCUCGAGGUUUGAAACUGAUUGGACUGUGAAUUGAAGCCUACUCUCAUUUCAUUUUGUAGUUCAUCAAAGGUGUGGUUCUGUUGCUCAAUCGUGGAGUGAGUAAGAUUCUCAAAAUUUUGGAUUGCAUCCUCCCAUGGUCUGGGUUGAGAGUAGUUCUGGUUAUGAUUGUAUGAUCUAAAUAGUGGCUGAGAGACUUGAGGAACUUGAGGAAUUGGUUGCAUUGGUAGAGCUGGAGCUACUGGUCCAAUCUGUUGGAAUCCCCGGCAACGGCGCCAAAAACUUGUUGUGCAAAUUUUAUUGAACACGCAAGUGCGCAAAUCUAUUGUAGAAUAGAUUAAUGGUGACGAGUGUCAGUCCCACGAGGAUGUUGAUUUUAAUUAUGUCUAAAAUUAAUUUUCUAAGUGGGUGGUUGGAUUUGUGGUGAAAAUGAUUUGGAAUAUUCUAAAAUUUAAAUUAGAAUGGCGGGAAUAAAUUAAAGCGAAAUAUAUUGAAAUGAAGCACUUGGGUGUCUAGAUCUACAUCAACAUGUACCAUGGGCUAAAUAUUCUUUAAUAAUGCCAAUUAAAUCAUGAGGGGGUUUUCCACUCCUCAUGAAUCACACUCUAAUCAAUAUGGUGCUAAGGGCUUAUCAUGCCAAAUAGUAAUAACAUUGCACUAGGAAGCCGGUUAUACCAAUGCGGUAUCUAGAUAAGAUUAUUACUAUCUGUCGACAAAAAGUCAAAACAUCCACAUAAAUUAGAGGGAAAGAGAAAGUAAAUUUACCAAAUAAAGCCCAUGGAACAUGUUAAGACUUCACCUUCAACCCAAGCUUUAAAGGAAAAUUGGCUACUCAUAAUUGAACUAGGAGUAAAAUGGAAAUUUAUUAAAACACGUAGAAAAUACAAGAUGGAGAAGGAAUUACAGAAAAUAGAGCUAAAAAAUGAAUUCAAGGGUCUCAAAUUAGAGGGGGGGGAGCCCUCUUUUUAUAGAUAUACUGAUUAAAUCAUGGCCAUUGGAUUAAAAACAAUUUGGACGCUCAGGAUUGUGCCACGUGUCAACAGUACGCGGUUUGACUACAUGGUUUGAAUAGUGACGCGGCUUGGUUAUAAAUAAUUCCGUGUAUUUGCAUGUAAUGUACGCACGAUUUUUGGUCCACUAACACGCUGCCACGUCACCGAUCAAUAGUAGAUAAGAAUUUUAGUCCAAUAGGAUCGUGACACCUCAUCAGUCAAUGUCACGUCAUCGGUCAAUACCACAUCAUCAUUCCGUAUAUGUGAACAGUGUCGUGAACAGUAACAUGGACAGUACCGUACAUGUGAAUAAUGUCAUAUUUUAUUUUAUGGUCCUCCUAAGAUUUUCGACUGUCUUGAGUUCAAAAGUGAUGUCUGUUUUGCUAUUUGAUCUCUCGUUCAUUGUGAAAUGACCGUGAUGCCCCUAAAAUACAUAAAAUACUUAAUUAUAAUACAACACACAUAAUUAAAUCACAAGAGACUUAAAUACAUAAAAGUAGAGAUGUAAGUGAAACUUGGAGUGUAAAAUGACGAUUUUCUCCUUUAUACAUAUACACUUUCUAACACUCAACAUCCAUCUACAAAUCUACAAUAAUAACCAGCCAAUCCAAGGAAACUCCGAACCUCUGUGACAUUUGUAGGUCGUUCCCAAUUCACAACAACUUCGAUCUUGUGAGGAUCGACAUAAAUUCCUUCAGCUGAUAUCACAUGGCGCAGAAAUACUACUUUAUCCAACCAGAACUCACACUUGUUGAACUUGGCGUACAAUUGCUUUUACCUUAAAGUCUGCAAAACAGUUCGCAAAUGUUCUGCAUGUUCCUCUUGGUUUCGAGAAUACACCAAAAUAUCAUCAAUGAACACAAUCACAAACCUACCCAGAUAAGGGCGAAACACCCUAUUUAUAAGAUCCAUAAAAGCUGCUGGAGCAUUUGUUAACCCAAAUGGCAUCACCAAGAACCCAUAGUGUCCAUAAUGGGUUCUGAAUGUUGUUUUAGGUGCAUCGACCUCUUUAAUUCUAAGCUGAUGAUAUCCCGAGCGCAAAUCAAUCUUAGAAAACACCUUCGCUCCCUGAAGUUGAUCAAACAAGUAAUCAAUAUGCGUAAGUUGAUAUUUAUUACGUACUGUAACUUUAUUCAACUGCCUAUAGUCAAUGCAGAGUCUAAGAGUACAAUUUUUUUUCUUAACAAACAAAGCUGGAGCUCCCCAUGGAGACACACUAGGUCUAAUAAACCCUUUAUCUACCAAUUCUUGCAGUUGAAUCUUAAGUUCCUUUAGUUCAGCUGGAGCCAUCCUAUACGGUGCUAUAGAUAUAGGAGUCGUCCCAAGGACUAAAUCAAUAGAAAACUCAAUCUCUCUGUUAGGUGGCAUCCUUGGAAGUUCAUCUGGAAAUACAUCUGGAAACUCCUGGACUACUGGAAUAUCCUCCAAUCUCGACUCUCGAAUUUCAGUGUUUAUCACAUGUGCAAGAUAAGUUGAGCAACCUUUUCUUAGUAACCGUCUUGCACCAAUGGCCGAUAUGACACAUGAGGGUAAAACGCUACGCUCACAACAAAAUUUCACCUCAGCUUCUCCUGCCUUAUUGAACACAACUUCUUUUUUGGAACAAUCCACAGUAGCAUGGUGAGAUGCAAGCCAAUCCAUGCCCAAAAUGGCAUCGAAAUCUCGAAUAUCUAAAAUAAUUAAAUUUUCUGACACGACUCAAAAGUGUAUUACUCCCAAGUAUAAGAUUGUCUAGUUACAAUAUAACCCAGUGAGUCCGGGGUCGAACCACAGGGAAUUUUAAAAUCUAGUUGUCAAUUUGUUAAACAAAGAAAAUAAAUUGUGGGAAAAUAAAUUAUUUGAAAACAAUUUAAAAAUAUGCUAAGGUUACGGGAUCCACUCUCAGUAUUCAAACUAUAAUUUUAAUACUCUCUCAUUUAUAUUUUGCCUCACUUUUACCAGUUAAUUAUUAUAUCAUUUAAUUCUAUGUGUGUGGAUAAAUAUGGAAUAAAGUACCUAAUGUGCCACACUAUAUUAAUGUGUCAAUAUUGUGUCAAAAUGCCAUACAAAUCCUAAAGAAAUUUAUAAAUUAACAUGACAUAAAAAUAACUAGAAAAGAACAAAAUAAACUUUAAAACUCAUUUGAGAAAAUAAUAAAUUUAAUAGUUUGAAACAUUGAACUUCACCCUUCACCUCAGCUUAAUAAAAUUAGCCACUCAUAUUGAAAGAAAACACAACACUAUUUAUUUGAUAAACUUUUAAAAUAUGUUAUAAGAAAGUUGAUUACAACAAAAGAAGAAAAAGACACAAUUUCUCAGUUGCACUCUAUUCUAUUUCGGCUUAAUGUUGCGGACCGCCCAAUUCGCUAGCCCAAUUGCCCACAAUUUCGGGCUAGAGAGCCAACACAAGGCCAAGAGUGCUAGCUUGGCCCAAUUCCGGAAACUUCUAGGCAACUCUAGCACAUUUGAGCUUGUAAAUACUCUAGAAUUCUUCAUAGAAUUCCAGCACAUGUAAAUAGCUAGGAAAUGGUAGAAUUCUCUAGAAUUUCUAGAGCUUGGCAAGCCUCCCCUAUAAAUAUGGGAUGGCAUUAGGCAUUUGUAUCCAACAAACACUACAACAAGCAUUGUAAUCUCUCUUUGUGCAAUACAAUUUCUCUUAUUCAGCUCCAUUGCUUUCUUCUCUAGUUCGAGAAGCUCUAGGCUUACUUAGCAACAUUCGGAAAAAUUGUCUAAGUGCCGCACAGGUUAGCUGCGCAAAAUACUCAUCUCGUGACAAGUGGUAUCAGAGCUAAGGUUUGCACACACGCAAGUUAGCUCACGAGCAAUGGCCAACCCUUCGAACGUAGCACAAGAGGGUGUUGUUGGUGUGGAUGUUCCACCGGAACCAAGCCGCGGCCGAGAGGGAGAACGCGCCCAAGGCAAGACUCGCAGCAAGUCCAAGGCCCCAUCCGUGGAUGCAUUGGAGCCUCGUGUGACUACUCUCGAAAUCGCUUUGUCCACCGCUCAAGAUAGCCUCGAGGGAUUGGAGGAAAGGGUGGACGGUCUCGAGGGGGAAUACGCCGAGUUCACGGUGGCAACCAAAGCUCUCAUCCAAGAGCAAGCGAACACUCUCCGAGGUGAGUUUCGUUCCUUCCACGAUGAGUUGCUCAAACUUCGUAGUUUUGUUCAGGAUGAACUACGCGCUGUCCGUGCGGAAGUGGAUGAAGUCCGCUCGGAUUGGGCAUGGCACAAGCGCACACUCUCCGCUAGUCCAGCUUCCGCAAACUCGAGUGAUGCACGCCGCAUUGACGUGCCAAAGCCCGACACAUACGAUGGCACACGUAAUGCCACCAUCGUGGAUAACUUUCUAUUUGGGCUUGAUCAAUACUUUGAUGCCAUGGGUGUUCGAGAUGAGGCUUCGAAAGUGGGCACUGCACCCACCUAUCUUAGAGGCGCUGCACAACUAUGGUGGUGUCGCAAGCAUGGCGAGAUGGGCAAGGGCAUUUGCACCAUCGACACUUGGGCUGACUUCAAGCAAGAACUCCGAAAGCAGUUCGCCCCAAGCAAUGCGGAGAAGGAAGCGCGAGCGCGCUUACGUCGCCUCAAACAAACAAGUAGCAUUCGGGACUACAUCAACGAGUUCACUACCCUUAUGUUGGAAAUAAGCGACAUGUUCGACAAAGAUUCACUCUUCUACUUCCAAGAUGGCCUCAAGGAUUGGGCCAAGACCGAGCUUGAUAGGCGUGAUGUUCAGACACUUGACGAUGCCAUCGCCGUUGCGGAAUCGCUCACCGAAUACUCUACCCAAUCCAAGGACAAAAAGGCCAACCAAGGCAAAGGUGGGGGAGAGAGUCGCAAGGACAAGGGUAACAACCGCAAAGAUUGGGGGGCAGAAAAAGCCGCCUAGCAACAAGAGCGGGCAAGGAAAAUCGGAGGGCAAGAAGGAGGCGCCAAAGCCGCGAAGCCCAUGCUUCAUAUGCAAUGGUCCUCAUUGGGUACGCGACUGUCCGGAGAAAAGGUCGCUCAAUGCUCUUUCUGCCCAACUUAAGAGCAACCCCACAAUGUCCACGGAGGAACCCCAACUCAACAUGGGUUCUCUCUAACGCCUCGGCGCACUCAAUCGCCAACAGCCCGCACUCAUCAAGAAAGGGCUCAUGUAUGUAAGCGCAAAGGUAAACGGUCAGUCCGUUCGCGCGCUGCUAGACACGGGAGCUACGCACAAUUUCGUGUCCGUAGACGAAGCCAAGCGCUUAGGCCUCAAGACCACCAAGGAAGGAGGCACGAUGAAGGCUGUGAACUCACCCGCCAAGCCAAUUGGGGGAAUCGCACAAGGCGUGUACAUUACACUUGGUACGUGGAGCGGGAAGCUUGACUUCUCCAUUGUGCCCAUGGAUGACUUCAAGAUGGUCCUCGGCAUGGAAUUCUUCAACCAAGUCCAUGCCUUCCCGCUGCUCGCUACAAACUCCCUAAGCAUCCUCGACGGGAGCAAAGCAUGCAUGGUACCCACGGAGCGAGGCAAGUCCGAGGAGAAGACACUCUCCGCCAUGCAAUUCAAAAGGGCUUUUAAGAAGGACCCAAGCUUCUUGGUCUCCAUCCGGGAACUAAACGAGGAAGGAAAUAGCGGAACGUCACCAAGCCAAGUCCCUCCGCGAAUUCAAGCCGUCCUCAAUGAGUACAAGGACGUGAUGCCUCCAGAACUUCCGAAGAAGCUCCCACCUCGACGAGAGGUAAAUCAUGCGAUCGAGAUGGAACAAUGUGCGAAGCCACCAGCCUUGGCGCCCUACCGCAUGGCGCCACCCGAAUUAGAGGAGUUGCGGAGACAACUCAAAGACUUGCUGGACGCAGGCUACAUUCGCCCCUCAAAGGCCCCAUUCGGUGCACCCGUGCUCUUCCAAAAGAAAAAGGAUGGAUCGCUGCGGAUGUGCAUAGACUAUAGAGCGCUCAACAAGAUCACCAUCAAGAACAAGUAUCCAAUUCCCUUGAUCGCGGACUUGUUUGACUAGCUUGGCAAAGCGCGGUACUUCACCAAACUUGACUUGCGCUCCGGGUACUACCAAGUGCGCAUCGCCAAGGGAGACGAACCGAAGACAGCGUGCACAACAAGGGACGGGUCUUUUGAAUUCCUUGUGAUGCCUUUUGGCCUUACUAAUGCACCCGCCACAUUUUGCACGCUCAUGAACAAGGUGCUCCAACCAUUUCUUGACCGCUUCGUGGUCGUGUACUUGGACGACAUAGUGGUGUAUAACACCACGCUCGAGGAUCAUGCCCAACACUUGCGACAAGUCCUCCAAGUACUCCGAGACAACGAGCUCUUCCUCAAAUUGGAGAAGUGCUCAUUUGCUCAACAAGAAGUGGAGUUCCUUGGCCAUAAGAUUGCGGGCGGAAAGAUCAUGAUGGAGAACGUCAAAGUAAAAGCCAUCCUCGAUUGGGAGCCUCCCUCGAAAGUGCCCGAGCUUCGCUCAUUCCUUGGGCUGGUGAAUUACUACCGCCGCUUCAUCAAGGGCUAUUCGGCCAAGGCGGCACUCUUGACGGAUAUGCUCAAGAAAAACAGAACGUGGCAUUGGUCCGAAGAGUGCCAACGCGCAUUCGAAGAGUUGAAGAAGGCAAUUUCGGAGGAACCCGCCCUCGCUCUUCCGGACCACACUAAACCCUUUGAAGUCCAAACGGAUGCCUCGGAUUUCGCCGUAGGAGGAGUCCUUAUGCAAGAAGGCCACCCCAUAGCGUUCGAGAGUCGAAAGCUAAAUGACACGGAACGCCGCUACACGGUGCAAGAAAAGGAGAUGACCGCAAUCAUACAUUGCUUGCGGGUGUGGCGACAUUACUUGCUCGGCUCUCACUUCACGAUUAUGACAGACAACGUGGUGACAAGCUACUUCCAAACACAAAAGAAGUUGAGUCCGAAGCAAGUACGGUGGCAAGAUUUCCUUGCAGAAUUCGACUAUCAGCUCGAGUACAAACCGGGUAAAGCCAAUGUCGUUGCGGACGCUCUAAGCCGCAAGGCCGAAUUGGUGACACUUAGCAUGAGCCAACCGAAGUCCGACCUUGUCUCACGCAUCAAGGAAGGCCUCCAACAAGAUCCGCUAGCAAAGGACUUGCUGGAGAAGGUGCUCGAGAGAAAGACAAGGCACUUUUGGCAAGAGGAAGGCAUCCUCCUCACCAAGGGAGACCAGCUGUUUGUGCCAAGGUGGGGAAGGAAGUAAUCAAGGAGUGCCAUGACUCCAAGUGGGCUGGUCACCCAGGAAUCGAGCACACCACUGCACUAGUUCAAGCCUCAUAUUUUUGGCCACACAUGAGGGACGACAUCGAGGCAUAUGUGCGAACUUGUCUUGUGUGCCAACAAGACAAAGUGGAUCAUCAACUACCAGCGGGAUUGUUGGAGCCGCUACCACUAGCAACAAGGCCAUGGGAAAGUGUCUCCAUGGACUUCAUCACAUCGCUGCCCAAGUCCGAAGGUUACGGUAGCAUCAUGGUCGUUGUCGACCGAUACAGCAAGUAUGCCACAUUCAUUGCCGCACCAAUCAAUUGCAAAGCGGACGAGGCAGCCCGCCUAUUCGUCAAGCACAUUGUGAAGCUUUGGGGAGUUCCGAAGAGCAUUGUGAGCGACCGAGACCCUCGGUUCACUGGGCGUUUUUGGACAAAACUCUUCAAAAUGUUGGAGACCGAUCUCAAGUUCUCAACAAGCUUUCACCUACAAACGGAUGGGCAGACCGAGCGCAUCAAUGGCCUCCUCGAGAUGUACUUGAGGCAUUAUGUGAGCGCUCAUCAGCGGGAUUGGGCAAAGCUACUCGACAUCGCCCAAUUUUCUUAUAACUUGCAGCGAAGUGAGGCUACGGGCAAGAGUCCAUUUGAGAUCAUCAUGGGAUUCCAGCCUAUGACCCCCAAUGCCAUAGCCUCGACUUACGGAGGGAAAAGCCCCGCGGCACACAAGCUCGCUCGCGAAUGGCACGAGGAAGCGGACAUCACGCGAGCCUACCUUGACAAAGCCGCGAGGAAAAUGAAGAAAUGGGCGGAUACAAGGAGACGACAUGUUGAGUACAAGGAAGGUGAUCAAGUCAUGAUCAACCUCCUACCCCAACAAUUCAAGACGUUGCGGAAAGUCCACAAGGGGUUAGUGAGGCACUACGAGGGACCCUUCCGAGUUGUUCGACAUGUGGGCAACGUCUCGUAUCAACUCCAACUUCCGCCAAGACUCAAGAUCCAUCCGGUCUUCCAUGUGAGCCUUCUCAAGCCAUAUCACGAAGACAUGGGAGAACCAAGUCGCGGAGAAUCGAGGCGCGCGCCAACUGCCGUUGUCACCGCGUUCGACAAAGAUGUAGACUACAUCAUUGCGGACCGCAUGGUUUCGAGGAGAGGCGUGCCAGCACAUAGCGAGUACUUGGUGAAGUGGAAAAAGCUCCCCGAGAACGAAGCCACUUGGGAACGUGAAGAAGAUUUGUGGCAAUUCGCUGAGCACAUCCAGAGGUUCAAGCACGAGAGCGCGACGAGGACAUCGCGAGCUUAGGUGGGGGAGGAUGUUGCGGACCGCCCAAUUUGCUGGCCCAAUUGCCCACAAUUUCGGGCUAAAGAGCCAACACAAGGCCAAGAGUGCUAGCUUGGCCCAAUUCCGGAAACUUCUAGGCAACUCUAGCACAUUUGAGCAUGUAAAUACUCUAGAAUUCUUCAUAGAAUUCCAGCACAUGUAAAUAGCUAGGAAAUGGUAGAAUUCUCUAGAAUUUCUAGAACUUGGCAAGCCUCCCCUAUAAAUAUGGGAUGGCAUUAGGCAUUUGUAUCCAACAAACACUACAACAAGCAUUGUAAUCUCUCUUUGUGCAAUACAAUUUCUCUUAUUCGGCUCCAUUGCUUUCUUCUCUAGUUCGAGAAGCUCUAGGCUUACUUAGCAACAUUCGGCAAAGUUGUCUAAGUGCCGCACGGGUUAGCUGCGCAAAAUACUCAUCCCGUGACAUUAAGCUCUCUCUGUUCAGCUCUCUAACUUCUCAAUACUCAGCUCUUUGCAUUUCCUUGCCUUUUAUAGGCAAGGAAUGCAUUAUCUUUAUUUAUUUUAUUAUUAUUAUUAUAUAUAUGUACAUUGAAAUGUGUAAUGGUCAAGUGGCCAUGACCAUCACGAGAAACUAAAUUGCUUGGUUUUUUUUUUUUAUUCAUUUUCAUUUUUUUAUUUUUUAUUUUUUUACAUCUCCUCAAUAAUGCUUCCAAAUUGCUCCAGCAAUCCUUCUUUGUUCCCGCUUUCAAUUCUAAUUUAUUCUUGAAAAAUAUUUAUAAGAUAAAAAUUAACAGAUUAUGAAUUAAUUUAACACAAAAAUUUAUUUGGGGAGCAUUCAUAUAAUUUAUAGGUUAUGCGUGCAUUAAUCAACACUUUAAGUGAAAAACUAAUAAUUUUAUCCUUAUUACACGUACACAUUUUAGUGUUAAUCACAGCCCCCUCCCCAACCAGCUUAUUGUUAGGCCCUAGCAAUUUAAGCGAUAAAAAUUUAGAGAAAUUUCAAAACCAAAUUGAAAAUCUUUUUUUUUUUUUGGAAAAAUUGUGUUUACUUCUUUCAUCAGAUUAAUGACAACAAUCAAAUAAAAGUAUAAGUAUUAUCUUCAGCCUAAAGAAAAUCACACCCACAUAAAUCAGUUAAGUAAAAUCAUGUAAAAUGAUCAAUUAUCAGAGCUACAUUAAUCAAGCCACUUUAAGUAAAAUUUAUGAUGUUAUCAUUAUUAAUGUUUGGUCCACAACAGCGCGAUAAUGAUAUUGAUGUGUACUUGGCACCACUAAUAGAGGACUUGCAAACUCUAUGGGAUGUUGGUGUGGAAGCUUAUGAUGCCUACAAAAAAAUAGUUCUUUAAUUUACGGGCUGUGCUAUUGUGGACUAUAAAUGGUGGAAAGCUCAAUGAAGAUAUAAUCUAUGAUGAUUUGCGAAAUUAAAGGUCAAUAUAUGUUGUGUGCACUUAUUUAUGCUUCCAAAGAUUACCAAAAAUAAAUUGGAUUUGAGUUUAUAUAGUUUGAGCCCAAAAACUAGCCAUUAUGGAUUUUCUAAUGAUAACCGGCUUGCCGCUUUUGGAAUCCGGUUAGCCGCUUUUAUGUUACCGUUACAACAAAUAUUUGAAUUUUACAACAUCCAGCAUUCCACUUUCAAAAUUCGGUUAGCCUUUUGCAAAAGUGAUUGCUACAGUGAACUAUUUUAUAAAAUUAUAGUUUUGACCCAAAACUUUAUAGAAUUAUGAUAUGGCCCAAAACGUCAUAAAACUUUACACAAAGGUCUAAUAAAAAAUAAUUUGAGCUUUUAAAAACUUAAUCAUUCUUAAUUUUAUUUUUUAUCAUCAAAAUCAACAUUAUGGAAACAUAUAUGUUAACAAUCUUCCCAUUUUUUAUGACGACAAACCUUUUAUGUAUUUAAAGAAUGAUUACACAAAUUGCUCCCCCUAAAUGUAAACUUCUCUUACAAUUUAGCUAAAUUAACAAAUUUAAAUACAUGUAUUCUUCUCCCCCUUCAUCAUUAAAAAGAAAACUUAGUGGAAAAAUAAAAAAGAGUAACAAAUUUGUUAUAUAUGUUGUCCGAGUAGAAAUUUCGAUAGAAUCUCCCUCUAACAACAAACAUUACCUUAAAUACAAGUUUAAUAAUAUUACUCCCAAAUUAUUAUAAAUAAUGAUACAAUCCAACUCCAUAUACAAAUCAUCACACAAUCCAUCAACCAUAAAAAGAUUAUGAACCAUUAUUCCAUCAAUUACCAAAUCAACAACUCAUAACAUAAAAUUAUCAUAUAAAACAACUAUGUAAUCAAAUCAUCAUCAUAUCCCAAAAUCAUCAAAAUCAUCACCAUAAUCACAUAUCAAUCAUCAAAACAAUACUCAAAGUGCAUAUUAUUGUCUUUCUUUUGACAACAUCGAAAUGAUGUGUUACUUUGUCUCCCCCUUUGGACAACAAAAAAAUUCAAAAUGCAUAUUAUCCAAAAUCAUAUUGUAUGCUCCCCCUAAAUAUAUGGCCAAUUUAAAAUUUUAACCAAAAUAAUUUUAUCCAAAAACAUAUCAUAUUUAUCUCCCCCUUCAUUGUAAAAAAGAAAAGAUAGAUAGAUGCAAUCAAAACAAUAUCAUAAAAAAUAAUUCGAUGAAGAGAUUACCCAUUUUGUGCGAGCAAAAAUUUCGGCAGAGUCUCCCCUUAAAAAUGAAAAAAUCCUCAAAUACACAAAAUGGUUAAAAACACUUCCAUAUAAGCUUAAACAAUUAUAACAAAUCAACAACUCCAUCAAUUCAUCAAGCAACACACAUAAUCAUCAAUCAUUAAAAUCAUCAAGAAAUCAAAUCAUCCCAAGUUCGUGUCGAAUUUUUUAAAAAUGUUCUUCGCAAAAAGGUUUUGAUUUGUUUACCAAAUUGGCAUGCAAAAGUUAUAAAAACGUAUUAUAAACUAUCCAAGCUCCAUAAUUACUAAUCACAUUUUAGAAAUCAAGACAACUAAACUCAUCAAAGAUCUAAUGUGACAUUUCAAUAUAACUUAAAAAAUCUUAUAUGCUUAAAAUUCUCGAAGUAAAUGUAUUUUUCUCCUUUUCGAUAUCAUUUAAAACAAGUAAUGCACAUUCAACAAUACAUCGAUAAAGUACAAAAAAUGCAUCCAUUCACCAAUCAUAGAUUGCAUAAGAUCAAACUUCAUCAAAUACAAUGUAAUCAUCAAAGCACAUUCUUUAUCAUCAAAACAUAAGUAAAGCAUAAGUACAUAAUGACAAUAUAUAGAUCAUCAAAAUUAACAUAUGGCAAUAUAUAGAUCAUCAAAAUAAACAUAGCUAUUAAGAAAAGCCAUCAUUAUGAGUAAAGAACAAGUGCUCAAAUCCAUUAUUACAAAUGCUCACAUAGGCCAAUUUAAUGAAUGAUGAUAUAAUACAAUAAAUGACAUAUGAAUUCACACAUACAUAAGUGAUGAACAAAUAAGGAAGAUGAAUAAAUAACACGAAACAUGAUGAUAGACAAUUUAAAAGAUGAAAUCAAGGAUCAUACAAUCAUCAAAAUCAAACAAAGGCAUCAUGAUAAGUUGCCAUACUACCAUCAUAUAUAUCUAUCCAUGCAUCAUGAUUACACACAAUAAUAAUUCAAUUAUGUAAACGUACGAGCAUGCUUUCGUAAAUUCAAGCUAUUAUCCAUCCAUCAUGAUCCAUUCAACCAAAUCAAAAUGGUAAGAAUUGUUACCAAAACAAUUAAAUCAUUUUACUUAUCGUUUUCUCUUAGAUCAUGAUCAAGUGAUUAUUCUCACAAGCUUUCAUUGAAGAACUCUCCACCAUUUCUUGAUUAUGGUACCUACAAAAAAAAAUAUUCUAGUUGUGCCUUUUGAUACCCAAAUACUCUUGGGUCUUUGAGUGUUAGUAAUGAUUCCUUUUGGAACUCCAAUACAUUUUGCUCCAUAAUAUGCAUUUCUUUUAACUGGACACCUAUUCUUCAUGUGACCAUUUUGAUUGCAAUGGUGGCAUACAACUUGAUUGUUAAUGGAGGUACUCUUCACAAAAUAAUUCUUAUAAUACUUUUGUUUCAAAUUUGGCUUAUAGCCAAUACCUCCUUUGUCAAACACACAUUUUUGUGAAUUAAGCAAGUUAUCCAACAUUUUUUGCCCAUUUGUAAAUUUUAAGACAACAUCACUAAGUUCAAUAUUCUUUUUCUUAAGCAUCUCAUUUUCUUUUUUCAAAUCAUCUACAUGUGAUUCUAUAUGUUCAUGUAAAGUGCUAGGUUUCCCAUUUGAUAAUGCAACUCUAUCAUGCAAUGUUUUAUUUUCUAAUUCUAGGCAACUAAUCUUUGCACUUAGAGAUUCAUUUUUAUUUGUGAGUUCUACCGUUUUCUUUUUAAGACAUGCAUUCUUUUUACCAACUUUCAUCAAUUCAUCAUACAAUUCUUUAAGAGCAUCAUAUAACUCAUCAUAAGUAGGAAGAUUAUUUACCUCAUCAAGUUCAUCAUCUCCUAUUGCCAUAAGUGUUAGGUUUGACACUUCUUGGAAAUCUUCUUCAUCACUCGAUUCUUCAUCGCUAUCGUCCCAAGUAGCCACCAUGGCUUUCUUCUUGAGUUUGUUGAGAAGUGGAACACUCCAAUCUUAUAUGGCCAUGCUUUUUGCAUUCAAAACAAACAAUUGCCUUUUUAUUCCCUUUCUCCACCUUAAGGUUUUCUCUCAUGAGAUCUUUAAAGUUUCUUCUCUUGAUUUGCUUUUUAAAGAUCCUUCUAAACAUUCUAGCAAUCAUCUCAAUGCCUUCAUCUUUAAAGUUACUUCCAUCAUCAUCACUUUCAACUAUAGAAGAUUUAAAAGCAAAACUCUUCUUCUUUUUAUCUUCAUCAAUUCUUUCAUUAGUUAUAUCUUCUUCAUAUGAAAUAAGUGAACCAAUAAGAUCAUCAAGUGAUAAAGUAUUAAAACUUUUUGCUUCUUCUAUGUCCGUUCUCUUUGGUCUCCACUAUUUUGGCAAUGAUCUAAUAAUUUUUUUUUUACUUUUUUCACUAUUAGUAAAUAUGUUACCUAGUGCUUCAAGAGAAUUCACAAUAUCGAUGAAUCUAGUGUACAUAUCAUGAACACUCUCAUAUGAUUCCAUUUGAAACAUCUCAUAUUGCCUAGUGAAUCUACUAAUUUUACACUCCUUGACUUGAUUUGUUCCCUUAUAUACAACUUCAAGUUUCUUCCAAAUUUCAUAAGCAUUUUCACAACUAGAAACUCUAUGAAAUUCUUUCUUAUCGAAAGCACAAAAUAAUGCAUUCAUUGCCUUGGAGUUUAACGAUAUCUUUUUCUUUUCUAAUUCACUCCAAUGACUUGAAGGUUUUGGAAUAUCAUCUCAUGCUUCAUUUUUAGUCAUAGGCAUGAACGGACCAUCACAAAUAACUUCCCAAAUUUCGUAAUCUAAGGCUUGCAAAUAAAUUCUCAUCCUAGUUUUCCAAUAAGGAUAGUCAUUACUAUUAAAGAAUGGAGGUCUAGUGGUAGAUGGGCCUUCCAUGAAGGUUGAGCUAAUUUGGGUUGCUAUGGAUCUUUAACUCUAGAAGAUUAAGUCUACACAAGAGCACCUCGCUCUGAUACCAAAUGAAAUACUAACUAGGCAACCUAAGAGGGGGGUGAAUUGGGAUUUUAAAAUUUAAGUUAAGCAAACCACACAACAAUUUAAUCUAAUGCCUUAAUGGAAUAAAAAAUAAUAAAUUCAAUACAGCACAAUAAUAAGAGAGUAAGGGAAGAGAAAACAAACACAAUGAUUUUUAUGUGGUUCGGGAAUCCUCGCCUACGUCCAUGCCUCCAAGCUCACCCGACUUGAGGAUUUCACUAUCCAAGCCUCCCAAGGCUUCAAGUUCUUUACAAUUGACUUUCAAUGUGUCAAUGGACCUUUCCAAUCAAGAGAUUAUCUCUCCAAUCUCUUCACCUCAAGUGUUUCUCACAUUUAUACACUCACAAUUUAAUGUGAAAUGAAAAUUACAACAAACAACUCUCUUUUAGAGUGGAUAUACAAAUGAUAGCUUAAUGAAGAUUUAAUCUAUGAUGAUUUGCAAAAUUAAAGGUCAAUAUAUGUUGUGUGCACUUGUUUAUGAUUGCAAAGAUUACCAAAAAUGAAUUGGAUUUGAGUUUAUAUAGUUUGAGCCUAAAAACUAGACGUUAUGGGUUUUCUAAUGAUAACCGGCUUGCCGUUUUUGGAAUCCGGUUAGCCGUUUUUAUGUUACCGUUACAACAAAUAUUUGAAUUUUACAACAUCCGACAUUCCGUUUCGAAAUCCGGUCAGCCGCUUGCUACAGUGACUGCUACAGUGAACUAUUAUCUAAAAUUAUAGUUUUGACCCAAAACUUUAUAGAAUUACGAUAUGGCCCAAAAUGUCAUAAAACUUUACACAAAGGUCCAAUAAAAAAUAAUUUGAGCUUUUAAAACUUAAUCAUUCUUAAUUUUUUUUGUUAUCAUCAAAAUCAAUAUUAUGGAAACAUGUAUGUUAACUGUGAGCACAUUAAAUGGCUAACGGGUCAUCAUUCACAAAAAGCCAAGAAUGAGAGAUGGUUGAGCAAUGAUCACAACUGCCACUUUUCAACUUGCCUUAAUAAAAAGGUUAAUAAUAUAUGUUCCAUUAUAUAUUCUUUUUAGUAAAUCUAUUGUCAUGUUUAUACAAUUAUUCAUUCAUUAUGAUUAUUAUUAUAUAGGUAUAUGAGAUCAUAGAUGAUGAUGAACAUGUCUCAGACACCUUGAGGUGGUUAUCUCAAGGACCCCGUCCUUUUGUAGUUAAGCACCCAGGAUAUGACAUCAAUGGAUAUCGUUUCCAUACUCGGGAACGAGACCAACAAUGAGUUCAUCAAAAUAAUGGAGUUAGUCUUAUUGCAGCAACUUUACAAGUAGCAAGUGUCAAGGACAAAAAUCCUAUCCUUGGUGACAUGUCUUACUAUGGAGUUAUUAACAAAAUAUGGGACCUUGACUAUCAUAUGUUCAGAAUCCCUUUGUUCAAGUGUGAUUGGGUUCAAAAUAAUGGGGAUGUUAAAAUCGAUGAAUUUGGCAUCGCUUUAGUGGACUUAAAUCGCUUGGGACAUAAAUCAUACCCAUUUAUAUUGGCUUCAAAAGCAACACAGGUCUUUUAUGUCACUGAGCAACUUGAUAAAAGAUGGUCAGUUGUAAGUCAUAUGGAGGUGUUCCAAAAAUGACAAGUGCUGAGGAUAUAGAUAUCAUGAUGGAACAUAAUCCUUUGACCAAUGGGUUACCAACUAUUGAAAAUUUAAAUGAUGCGGACAAAUAUGCAAGAGAUGGCAAGCAUAGAAUCUCGAUUGAUGCUUGGAAAAGCUGAUGGCAUUCACUGCUUGUAUGUCUUAUAAUAGUUUUGUGUUACAUUAUCUUUUAUUAUUAUAUGUUCCUUGUAUUGACUUUAGAUUAUUAUUUUUCAUUAUUUAUACUUUACAUAAUGUUCUAAUAUUAAAUGUGGAUUCAUUGCAGAAGCAACCUUAUGGAUAAAGGAAAAGGACUUGCUGAUGAACACUCUAAUGAGGAAAGUAUUGAUUAAUCGGGUAAUAAAGAAGUUCCUGAUGAAGGUAAUUCAAGUGAUAAGGAGGUUCCUGAUGAGUUUCCUAAUUCAGAGGAUCAAAAUGAUGUUCCAAAGAGUAGUUCCACUGUGAGAGAACCAACUAAAAACUCUGGCAAGAUGAGGAUGAGUGGUGGGAAGAUUGUAGUCAGGUACAAUGGGCUCCUUGUACUUGUUGGCACUGAAUCUACUGAAUUAGCAAGCUUUAUUAGGCUUUAUACUUCUAUUCCGGAUAUUAAACAAGAAUGAAAAAAGGUUACUCCACAUUUAAAGAGCCAUUUGUGGGAGUUUAUAAAGGUAAAAUGAUUAUUCAUAUUUAUAUCUUAGAAUUAAAUAAUGUAUAUGUUAAACUAUUUGAUCAUUAUGCUAUGUAUUUUUCUUAGGAACGUUUUAUUGUUCAUCCAAAUAGUAAGAAGCAAUUUUUUCAAGCACUUGGUAGUGCAUUCAGAAGCUUUAAGUACUUGCUCACCAGAAAGUAUAUCUUGCCACACAAGCACAAACGUAAAAGGUUGAAGAGGCCACAUUUUUCAGUACAGUAAUAUUCCUCAAAAUGUUUGGGAUACAUUUGUGAAUUCUAGAUUGCCCACUGAGUUUGAGGUGAAUACUUUUAAAUGUUAAACAUUUAGGUAUUUCAUAGAACCAUCUCUUAAAUCUAAUUAAGGACUGUUUUAUGCAGAGAAUUAGGCGUCAACAGCAAAAUAAGAGGGCUAAGAACAAGUGGAACCAUCGUUUAAGUAGAAAAGGAUAUGCUGGAUUGCUUGAUGAAAUUGUAAGUAAUAUGAUACUAACUUGACCAUUCUUGUAUAGCUAUUGGUAUAGAGAUGGUUGGUUUGAUGAUGAUAAAUUGGUAAACCUUUUGUUUUAAUUUUCUGCUUAUAAUUUGUGGUUAGUUAAGGAUGCAUACCAGCUGUGACAUUAUUAUUUUUUUAAACUAUAAUGCUCGGAAACUAGACUUGUCGAAACUGAAGUUGACAGGAGUGUAGCAUAGAAGCAUGCUAGGAAGAUGAAAAAGGUGAAUAUGACCCUAAUGUUGAAUCAGUUGUGAAGAAGAUUGUAAGUAAUAGCAAGUUUUUUUUUUUUCAAUUAGGCUCUAUUGGAAAGAAUUUGAUAUUCAUCAAUAUGAUUAUUAUACAAUUAGGAUGCACUGAAGGAGAAAACUAAAAAAAGGAGAAUUUAAAGCAAAUGUAAGAAAUGAUAUUCUUGCAAGUUCAAUUGGAAAGCCUGCCACUUCUGGACAUAUGCAGGGUGUUGGGAAAUUUAUAUCGCCUAAGAUGUACUUUGACACCCCAAAAAAUUCAUUUCAAAUGCGACAAGAGAGACUAAACAUACUAGAGAGGUUAGAUAAGCAAGAAGUAGGGUUGAGUGAUCUGAAGAAGAAGAUUAAAAAGUAACCUCGACAUUCAGAUGUUGGAAGCUCAAACUUUCCAUUACAUGAGCAAACAAUUGAAGAUGAAGCUGAAGAAAUGACUACUCAUAAUGAGGACAAGGUAUGAUACAAAUUGUUAUGCACAAUCAAGUUAAAAAAAUGACUUAAACAUUUGAUUUUAGACAAUUUUAGUCGUAAUCAAAAUCGUAAUUACAAUUUGUUUUUUUUUUUUGGCUUGUUAGUGAAUCGGCAUGACAAGGAAUGGAUCACCUGCAAAGAAGGAGCAUGAAACACUGACAAAGAAAAGGCAAUCACCAAAGAAGAUGAAUGAGUUACCAAAGAAGCAAGUAGCUGUUGAUUGUCCUGGAGACAAACCAGAAAGUACAAAGAAAAAGCAAUCAACAAGGAAGAAGAAGAAAUCACCAAAGCAGCAAGUGAUUGUUGAUUGUCCUAGAGACAAGCCAAAAAGUUUUAAGAAAAUGCAAUCACCAAGAAAGAAGAAAGAAUCACUAAAGCAGUAAGUGAUUGUUAAUUGUCCUAAAGACAAACCAGGCAGUCCAAUGAAAAGGCAAUCACCAAGAAAGAAGAAGGAAUCACCAAUGAAGCCUCACAAGAAACCAAGAAUGACUUUUGAAAUUUCAGGAGACAAACCAUCCAAUCCAAAAAAGAAGACAUCACCAAAAAAAGCCUCAAGAAAAGCCACUGUCAAGAAGAAGAACAAGGAAUUAUCAUACUGUGUAUAUGAACUGAGUUCUUGGGAUUGUAAUAUUUGGAAAUAUUUUUGAAACGAGCAUGGCUCAAAUAGGUUAUUACGUACCUUAUCAGUUGGAUAAAGACCAUUUGGGUUCAUACACACAGGACUCGUAUCAUCAGCCCAUGAUAAGGAUGCCUUUACUACAAGGGUAAAAAGGACACAAUUUAUUGCGGAACAGUUGAACAAAGCAAACAAAGGACAAAUGAUUUUCAUGCCAUAUAACCCUGGGUACAGUUCUAUUUACUUUCCAUUGAUGAUCAUUUACUAAAAUUGAUUCAUAAUUUCAAUUUCUUUGUGUAAUAGUUUCCAUUGGGUGUUGAUUGUAAUUGAUAUGACGACAAAGUAAGCAUUUUAUCUGGAUUCUAUGAACAACGAUUUAGGCGACGACAGUGACCUGAAGGACAUAGUUACCAAGUACGGUGAUAUUGUAUUUCUAAUAUAAUUUUAUAUAUCAUGUUUAUUUACUAACUACAUGUAUUGUAAUGUAGUGGGAUUUCAAUGCAUGUUGCGAUGAUUGGUAAAAAAAGGGUGAAACCAUAUAUCAAAAAAGUUUUGGUAAGCAAUUGUGACUUUUUUUUUUUUUUUUUGCAGCCCAUGACUUGUUAAUAUUUUAUCACUUGAAAGAAUUCAUAUGCAUAUGUAUUAAUGAUUAUUCUGUUGAUGAUAUAGUCCCCAAAUCAACCAGGGAGUACUGAGUAUGGAUACUAUGUGCUGAGGUUUAUAAAAGACAUAAUUGCAGACCCGAGUUUACUUCUCCAUAAUGUAAGUACACAUUCUUUCAUAUGCAUUGUAGGAUUACUUCACUUAUUACCUUUUACUAUAUAUAGUUUACUUUAGUCUGACAUGUGAUCAUCAUUUGACAGUUUAAAGGCAAAUGUGAAUACACUCAUAGUGAGCUUAAUGAAGUGCGUCUCGAGUAUGCUUCCUUUGUGUCUGAGCUGAUAGUAUUAGCAGUAGAGUUGAUGAUGUAUAUUUUUCUGAAGUUCUAAUUAUUAGUGGUAUUAUGGUAGUAUUUUGAAUUUCUAAGUGGUAGUGAAUUUAAUAAAGUCUUUAUGGAAUUUCAAAUUCCUUGUUACUAGAAGAUGAUAUUGUUUUGUUCCAAAACUAAGAUGUUUAUCAGCCUGGUAGUGUAAGAUCUUGAUCAGCCUUGUAGUGUUUCAGAUGAUAUAUAGUGUCGUGAUGUUUUUGUAUGCUGGUAAUGAUCUAGAUGGUAGUGUUGGGAUGUAUUAUUGUGAUAAUUGAAUAGAUGAUGUUUUGACAAUGUUAUGGUUAUUUCAAGUGAUGUUUUGAUGAUAUUGUUGAGAUAAUUUUGAUGUAUUGAUUUUAUACAUAUUUUGAUUUUUAAAUUUCAAUAGAAUUUAUAAAAUUAUAAAAUAAUAAUAUUAAAAAUAUUAUUAUUUAAAAUAUUAAAAUUUAUUUUCUAAUUUAAAAAUAUUAAAAAUUAUUUAAAAUAUUAAAAAUUUCUAAUUUAAAAUAUUAAAAAUUAUUUUAAUAAUAUUAUUAUUUUAAAAAAAUUCUCAUUGUGACACCAUAUUAACAUCAUAAAGCUGCGACACAUAAUUACCUGCCAUAAUUUAAAGUUGAAUUCAUAACACCCACCAAAAGUUUUUUCACAAUAAAACAAAUUUACCACCAAAAUAUUAAAACGACAUCACUUUUUUUGUGACACAUUUGUGAUAGUUAUAAGUUGUCACAUACUCUUGUGAUAGAUAAAUUAAUGUCACAGAUUUAUCACAGGGGCUACAAUGACAAAUAGAAACUCUGUCAUAAAGAGGGUCGGAUGACGGAUAUUCUCUGUCAUGGUAGCCCAUUUUUCUAGUAGUGAUUCAUGAUUUUCUUAAGAUUUUACAUCAUCUUGGCUUUAUGCAUUUAAUGAGUAAGACUUUAUAUCAUCUUAGCUUUAUGCAUUUAAUGAGGGAUAAGGUUUACUAUAUCCCCUAAUUAAUUGUGUUAAUUCUAUUAUUUAUAGAAUUUUCAUUUUAUGGCAAGUCUAAUAAAUUAAAAUUUUAUUUACUGAAUAUCAUGUAAUAGGUUUUAAUUUAUUAAAUUCCUAACUAAUUUAUUGAAAUUCCAAUUUAUUAGGAAUAUCGUUUCCUAGUUUAAUUAGAUGUCUAAUUUAGCAAGUUAAUUAGUGAAUGAAUUUUAUAAUUGGUGCGUAUGAUUUAUUUAGAGGAAAAAAUUGGUUUAAACAGAAAGUUUAUUAAAUGCUCUAGAUAUUUCUUAGAAGACAAGUAAAGCAAGCAUAUCAUAUUUAUUCCUAUUUAGAUUUAUAGGAAUUAUAAGAGGAAAUAAACUUUUAUUUAGAAAGAAUCCUAGUCUUUCAACUACAGUCUUAAUAAAGUUUUUCACAUCAGCCUCAUAGUCAUCAUACAAUAUAUCAAUUUUUUAUGGGUACAAUAUAUCAUAUUUAAGCCAAGAUUUAUCCAUUUUUUGUUUAGUACCUGACAUAUAAUUGACAUAAAUUUCAACAUAAUGUACUAAUGGUUUGCAAUGAUAAAUUGUUUCCAUUAUCAAUAAAAUUAAGCAACAAAACAUUAUUAAUAUUUAGUUUAUAAAUUUAAUGAAAUAAAUAAAUUUAAAACCAAAACUCGUCAUCACGUGCAACAAAUAUAACUUCACCAACGUGCUGUCAUCGUUUACCAAAACCUCUAACUAACAAUACCCACUAAUAACAUCCUAAAUAAUUUAGGCCACAUAUUUUAACAUUUAUUUAAAAAAAAUUUCUAACGAUCCAGCAUUUCAUGGACCACAAGACUAUCCAGCAUUUCAUGGACCACAAGACUAUGUAUACAUAUAUAAGCAACUAAACGUUCCUUGGUCCACAUGACCAAACUUGCCCCCACAUGGUACCAUUUCUUUCAAACAUAAAAAAGACAAUUGAAAAAGGGGUCCUCACUUUUCAACUCAAUAAAAUACACUAGAAAUUAUUAUCAAGUUUCCAAAUCUAACUCACAAUCAUUAAAAAAAAAUAUAUCAACGCCAUUGGACCCUAGUUUUGGAUCCAUCCCAAUAAAACACACUAGUCAAUGAAAAGUGCUAUAUCAUCAAGAAAAAUCAGUUCACAUAUAUGCAAAUUUUGACUGAAAAAUUACACAAUAUAACAACAUUCAGACAAACCAUUGCCAGCAAGCAUUUUUUAAACAUUGAAUGGAAAGGCAAGUAAAGAAUUGAACAAACCUGAUGUUAGAAAUCGAAUUCGAAAGGGAACAAAGCAGUGAAGUCCUGCAACUCAGGAAAAAAAUUAAAAAAAAAAGGACAUACUAAAUUAAAUGAUUGAGCAAUUUCUAGAUUUAAUAAAAGGACAAAGUAUAAGCUUCUUGAAUUAAAAAAAUAACCAAAGAUAACAGAAAAACAAACAAGAAUUAAAAAAAUAAAUAAUAAAGAUAAACCAUUCAUGAUAGAAAUCCCCCCAAAAAAAGGGCAUAAAUUAUGAACAAAUAAGGGAGAUAACAACAAAACUGACAAUUAAUCUUAUAAUGCCCAACUAAUUUAUUCAAAAUAAAAAAUAAAAAAGCUAAUUGACAAUAAAUCUAAGGAUUCGGUAAUUACAAGGAUGGCUUCUUGAUAACUCUAUGAAAUAAGAAUUAUCAUGGCACUUUUAAACUUAAAUCAAUAAUACUUAGAGAGUAAAUAAUGUGUUUUCAUUGCAUUUUUAUUAUAUUUUGCAUAAACAUUCAUCUUAGUUUAUUCGUAAUAAAUAUUUUUUGAUUUAGAAUAAUUUAUAUGCUAAAUCAUAUGCAUAAUUGUAGGUGUCCAGAAGCUCAAAUUUCAAGAAAAGAAUGCUGAUGCAAUAGGCUUGCAAAAGAUGGAAAAUAACUUAGCUACAAAAGAAUUGAAACAAAUCUGGACAAUGCAGUUGCUGUAGCCGUUGCUGUAGCAAUCCUGGAACAACGACAAAGAAAAUUUUGUUCGGGAUACUUGCAGAAUUGCGAUCUGCAGUUUCCUAACCUGACUUAUGUGCGCCCUAGACUUCCGUUUACCCUAAUUUUCAACUAUAAAAAAAGCACACAUCAUAAGGAAUAGGGGGAGCCGUCACCCAAGGAGAAAAACACAUAGAAACAAAAGAAAAACAAGAUUCAAGAGAGAGAUUAAGGGCUGCACAAGAGGAAAAAUUGCAGAGAUCAAUUGGGAGCUCAAUCUUUCUUAUCCUUUUCUUGUUUUCAUGUUCUCUAUUUAUUCAUGGGGAUGUGUUUCAUGGCCGAAACUUUGUUCUUUAUUUUUCUUUUGCAAAUCAUGAACUAAAUUUAUUUGAAUUGUUGGUUUAUUGACUGAAAAUAUGAGUUGUUGCAUGUUUGUUGUAGCAUUUUGUUUUGAUAGCAUUUAUUUUUAUUCAUUAUUUCGGUUGAUCACCCAUUUAAUGAUACAAGUUAGGAGAGAGCCACAAAAGGGCCUAUCUUAGUGGAACAUAUCAGAGAAAUACUUGGUUUUAGAUUGGGUUUACUGGAUUGAGUUUAAUUUAUCCCAAAAGGGCCAUGCUUAAUCUAAAAUUAGUGAUGAACUAGACAUAGGGAUUCACUUUGUAGGGUAAAUAGAACCUAAGCGUGUAAUGUUAUAUCUUAUGUGGGCAUAACAACUGAUCACUGUUAUGUUGCAUAUAGAUAUAAGAUAUCCUACAUGCGAUGGCUGAGGAUACAUAAGGAUUCUACCCAAUGCUGUAGCAACUGAGCCAACCAUUAGAAAAUAGUCAAGACCAUUAGGAGAGUUUAUUCACUCAACUACUCUAUAUUUCCAUUGGUUUUAUCCUUGAGUUUGACGUGAUAAUUUACUUUGUUGCAUUUAUUUAUUGUGUUUUUAUUUUAAUUAGUAUAUUAAUUUCAUUAAUUAUUUUAUCUUAAUUUAAAACAAAAUCUGCACUGUUAAGAUUGUUGUAGCAAGUAUGAUAACAUCAAUCCCUGUAGAGACGAUCUUGAAUACUCAUCACUUUAUUACUUGUUGUGUACACUUGCACAUUGACACUAAUAGCAUUUGAAUUCAUACCAACACUUCUCCACCGCCAAUUAAACAAUGCAAAGAAAUAGUGACAACGAUGACUUCAACAGUGAACGUGUUGAUGGAAGGCGCAACAAUGAGUAUAUAUGGUGAUUUUGUGCUUAAAAAUUUAUAAUGAAGUGGUUGCUUCAAUAGCAUAUACAAUGAUUUUGGUUUCCAUGCAAUGGAUUUCAAAACCAAUUUUUAUAUUAAAGUAGGGCUUGUUAAUUAUGGAUUUUGAGGGGUUUCAAUGGUGAGGUUUCUCAGCCCUCGCCGAUGGAGUGAUGAAGUCAGAGGAGCUGAAGUGUUUAUUAACACUUAGAAUUUUCUUGUAGUUUAAAGUCUAUAGUAAACAACAACGUUUAGAAGUUAAAUAAAUAUUUUUAUUUUUAAAAUUUUUUAAAUUAUGAAAAAUCAACACGGUGCCGUUUCAUGCCCAAAUUGAUAUAUCCUAAACUCACAGUUUCAUUAAAUAUUAAUAUGCUAUCAUAUUUAUAUGAUAAAUAAAAACUCUAUCACAAAUUUGUCAUGCCUUUAUGAUGUAUGAAAAUUCUGUCAUGUGUCUAUCAUAUUCUUGUGAUAAAUGACCAAUUUUCUAAUAUCUAUCACAAAAAUUCUGUCAUGUUAGCCCAUUAUUCUAGUAGUGAGAUAUUUAUCCAACUGGAUUACAAAGUAAUUGAAAUUAAUUGUAACACCUAUGGCCAAAACUUGGACCCAGUGUUAUUUUAUAAUCAAAAUUGAAACCUAUAGUUACAGUCAGCUUGAAUCUGAAUCAAAUGAGCAAAGGGGGGCAAUUGCCUUCUCUAAGCUCUAACCAUGAAACAAUAAUCAAAUCGUCAGACCUCUAAAAUAAGCCAAUGAAACAUUACUCACAAACCCAUCGAUUAACAUCUUUAAAGCUUUGGCACUGAAACUUAAACGAGCGUUUUGUGUUAAAUAGUAUUGAAAGUAAACACAGCAGCAAACUUAAACGAAAAAGUAUUGUCAUUCAUUGUGUGAAAAAUUAUGCGAAAUUCUGAUAUUUUACGUCGAUCUAUCCAAAUCCAAGCAGGAAAAUGAAUGCUCGAGCAAUAUUCAAAUAUCAAAAGAGCAUAUUUUCAAAAUUAAGUUAGGAAAAAAAAUUUCAGUAUCAAUUAUCAUCAACGGGUUCUUGAUGUUAAGAAUAAGCAUUAACAUGAGCUGCUCAGGUCGGCUGAUGAAUCAGCAAGCUGUUAAGCAAUAUGCUGAGUCAUCAGCCACGUCAGCAGUCAGUUACGGAGGCUGUUGCUUUGCUUAAGAAGCCUCUGGAUAUGUAUAUAUAAACCCCUGUAAUCUCAGUUCAUUUUGUAGCUUAAUGAAAUGAAUUUGGCUCACUAUUCUUCUAUCAAAACUUUUAGUAUUUUCCCUUCACUUUCUAGGCAAACAAACACAGCAACAUCUUUUAACUGUUGAAAUCUUCCAGCUCCGGUGCAAGCCUCAGUCACAAUGUAUUCACUCGAUGGCACAUCUUCACCCAGACUUUUCGGUAAAGUGAAUUAAAGCUUUCAGAAUGAUAGAAAGCAAAUGCAUGAGCCACGAAGAUCUGGAAGAAUGCCAAAGCCAAACCCUAAGUAUACUACUGAGAGCAUGAGUUGACUCCCAUGCAAGCCAUGCAUGAGACAUGCAUAUGCAGAUAUUGUGAAGAUAAGUGCUGGAGCCGUGAGAACAUGAGUUGACUCCCAUGCAAGCCAUGCAUGAGACAUGCAUGUGCAGAUAUUGUGAAGAUAAGUGCUGGAGCCGUGAUCUGGGGAUAACCUUAUCAACGAUUGUGCAACGAUUAAAGGGGAAGCUAAGACACGGAAGUUGUUUUCGAUUAUCUUUCUGUUUCGAAAUAUUAGCUAAGUUGUUAUUUUAAUAUUUGUUUUAUUGAUUUCAGCCGUGAUUGUGGGUUGAAAAUCAAAGUCUUGUUAUUAUAAAUAAGCUCCAGAAUAUGAAUAAAGGCAUUGAGAAUUCAAACUACAAUUAUUUGGUUAUUUCUCACCAUAAGCAGAAAAAUAUCACUAGCAUUAUUCGUAAUCAUUGUCUGCAUCUGACUGGGACCUAACACAGAACGAUACAUAAAACUUUAAAUUGUUCCUGUAACACACAGAAAGUCUUUAGUUCGGUAUCGUAAAUUCAAUUUCUUAUAAUCUCAUUAAUAUACUUUUUGAAUUUUAUUGUGAUCUUCAUUAGGCGUCAAUUUUUAUUUUUCAUUUAAAAGAAAAAGCACUUCCGGAGUCAUUGUAAGAUCUUUUUCUGUGUAAAUAUCUUUUUCUUUUAAUUUAAAAUUAGAUAUAUCAAACUUAUUCAUCGGGGUUUUGUUACAUUUCCUUUUAUUUUCAAUAAUUAAUUUGUUAUCUAAUUGGUCAAUAAAUUUGCUUCUUGUUUGUCCAGUACACUAAUAUAGAUGCUGUUCAUUAGAAGCAGACACAUAGCUGUAAAUUAUUUCUUAGGUUUUGAGAUAGGAAUGACGAAGGACAGAUGCAGGGGCACUGUUUUAAGUCAACCAAAGUUAAAGAUGAUUCGAACUCAUAGUUCUUGCAUAAAAACCUUUGUUAGCUUUACUUUUGUUGUCAAAAUUAUUAUUAUUAUAAUUUUUUUAAUGGUAGAAGUAGAACCUAAUCCCUCACAAUUAUCAAUUAAUACUAUGUUAAUUACCAAACACUAUUAUUUUUUUAUUCAUACCUAGUAGUGAUUUAAAUUUGAAAAGCGACAAAACCAUAAACCAGUUUUUAAUAUAUAAUAAACCAGUUUACAUUUAUUUUUUUAAGGAGAAAUGUAAGGAUCCUUUUAAUAAAAAAAAACCAUCAACAUUAAAAUGAUAGAAUUAGAAACGAAAAUCACAACAACAUUACAAUUGCAUUCAGUUUCUACGUAUCCUCCUCCUCCUUGUUGCCUUUUGCUGCGUUCCCAACUUCUCCAGAAUCCAUCCGAUAAUUCCUGUGCUGAAGUUGAACCCGAGAACCAAUCCUGCCACAAGUCCGCCCGCAUAGCCAAUCAGAAUGAUUUUCCAAUCAGAUGCGCCCGAAAACAGAGACUUCUCCGACCUUUAAGUAUGAUCUUCAAUUGUUGGAGGUUCACCACUCUCACAUUCUUUGGACAAAGGCCUUCCACAAAAUCCUGAGUUGCGGUCCAAAGAAGUGUUGUCAAAUGUAGCAAAUUGCUUUCCUUGUGGUAUAAGCCCUGCAAGGCAAUUGUCCGAGACAUUGAAGAAUGCGAGAAAUGUGAGCUGAACCAGUUGUUGAGGAAUCUGUCCUGAAAACUUGUUAUUUGAGAGAUCCAAUGAUUCCAAAUUUGUUAGAUUGCCCAAACAUGAUGGAAUAUGGCCUUGGAGAUUAUUGUUCUGGAGGUUUAGAACUUGAAGUCCCUUUAAAUUCUCAAUCGAUGCUGAAAUCGCCCCAUCAAAACUAUUGUUUGAGAGAAUAAUGCCCGCGAGGAUAUCUGGAAUCUUGUUAUAUGUCAUCAUUCGCCCUUUGCUGUUCAUUGUCAAUGAUCAGUAGUCAUAAGUGCUAAGUAUAUCAUUGGACAAUUGUCCAUACAGACAAAGCACAUCUUGCAGAUAUCUUAGCUCACUUGCAUUGACAAUUUUCAUGGCAUUCCAACACAGGAAACUCUUUGAUGGAAGCUUUCCAGUAAAUCUGUUGUCAGAUAGGUCAAUAAUGCGGAAUUUAGAAAAUCCACAACCAGUUCUGGGUUCUUCUAUAAUGCCAUAAAAUAUGUUGGAUCGUAGGAUGACGACAUUCAAUUUUGGCAGACUUCCUAACCAAGAGGGAAAAGUGUCACUAAUCUGGUUGUUCCCAAGACCAAGAAAUUCCAACUUUGAACAGUUGAUCAAUGAUCUUGGAAUUCUUCCUUGAAACAGAUUAUGGCUUAAAUCCAUCACGCCUAAUCUACUUUCUUUAGUGAAUGUAUUUGGGAUGGUCCCAGAGAAGUUGUUCCCCUGCAAGUCGAGCACUGAAAGUUCAUUGCUGAAAUUGCCUAAACACUGAGGAAGCAAGCCACUUAAGUUAUUGUGAGACAAAACAAGGCUUUCAAGUAUAUUCAAAUUGCAUAUCCACGAUGGAAUUUCCCCUGUUAAGCUACUGCUAAAAGCUAGAUAGUUAACGGUUCCGGGGGGUGGAACUGGGAGUGGUCCUUGUAAAUUAUUAGAGCUAAGAUCAAAAGUCACCAAAUCACCGUUAUUCCCUGGAAGAAGAAUAGGAUGCUGAUCAAACCCGGUUAACAAGUUAUGCGAAAGGUUCAAGGCAUUUAGAUUAUGCAUAUUGGGGUCUAACAACCAUUUGGGUACUUUUCCCUCAAUUCUAUUGUCAGAAAGGUCCAGGACCACCAUAUCACGUUGGUUUUCCAAGAAAUGUGGAAAUUUAGUAAGAUUGCAUGAACGCAGUCCUAUAUAUUGAAUUUUCUGUGAAGUGGUAUUAGAAGUGGCUUUGGUGAGCAUUGACAACCUAUUUAAUGAGAGACCUAAAACUAACUCUAUCGUUCCUCCAUAAGAAUUUUGAGCCAUGUCAAGGACGACAAGUUCGGUAAGAUUCCGAAGUGAAGAUGUAAUUUGACCUGAAAAAUUACACUCAGACAUAUAUAUUGCUUCCAAUGACCUAAGAUUUCCAAUGGAACCAAGUAAGUUACCUGAAAAAUUAUUAAAUCCAAGAUACAAAAAUUGUAGCCGGGUGAAAUUACCAAUUGAAUGUGGAACUUUGCCCCAAAAACCACAUGACCUCAGAUCUAAUAGCUUCAAAGAACUAAAAUUUCCAGUCGACCAAGGAAACUCACCCAAAAAUUUAUUAAAUGAAAGGUCAAGUUUUUCCAAAGAAAAAAGAUUUCGAAUGGAAGUAGGCAACUCGCCAAAAAAUCCAUUUUGUGAAAGGUCAAGUUCUUUCAAAGAACCAAGAUUUCCUAUGGAAAUAGGCAACUCACCAAAAAAUCUAUUUUGUGAAAGGUCAAGUUCUUACAAAGAACUAAGAUUUCCAAUGGAAAUAGGCCACUCACUCGACAAAAAAUUUGCAGAGAGAUCUAGUUCUUUCAAUGAAUGAAGAUUACCAACAGAAAUAGGCAGCUCACCUUGUAAUUCAUUUAGUGAAAUGUCUAAAUGAAGGAGCUUUGAUAGAUUACCGAUCGAAGAUGGAAUUCUUCCUGAAAUUAGUAAAAAAAAAAAAAGAACACAUUGCUUAAGUGGAAAAUAAAAAAUAAUAAUAAUUUUUACUAAUGAAUUUAACAUUGCAAUUGACAAUUUUCGAGUAAAAUAUAUAUAUUUAACAAUAACAUGCAUGUAUAUUAAUUAAGGAGAAAAUAUAUAAAAUUUAAUUACCUUGCAAUUCACAGUUUUGAAGAGAAACAAACGUCAAAGAAGAUAGAUUUCCGAUGUUAUGAGGUAUCAUUGAAUCAAUAGAAACAUCACCAAGGUCAAGUGUUUUUAGAUUACUUAACUUCUCGACUAAAUUUUCGAAACUGGGCUUCUGGAGUUCAACUCUACUACCAGGAACAUCAUUUAGUGAUAAAUCAAGGGACACCAAGUUGGAGAGCUUUAGAAUUUCUGAAGGUAUUUGACCAGAUAAAGAAGUUCCAGAGAGGUUCAAGUAUGAUAACCUGGAAAGGUUGAUGAUUUCUGGUGGGAUUUCGGAGGAAUUGAAGUCAUUCAAAGCAAGAUUAAGCCACUCGAGAUGGACAAGCUUGGAAAGGCUGCUGCUAGAGUCGAUAGAACCAAAAAGGCAGCUAUGGGAGAGGUCAAGCUUGAUGACAUGACCGGUGUUCUUAUUGCAAUGAACGUCGUCCCAAGAGCAGCAAUCAACGCUACCUUCUUCUGGCUUCCAUGAUGCCAUUGUAGGACGACAGUCAAAUUUCCAAGCAUAAAAAUCACCACUGAUGCGGCUUUCUUUGAAUUGCAACAAAGCAGAAAGCUCAUCAUCAUGGCAGAGUGGCAGCAUAGAAGAAGCAGUGACGUUAGCAAUUGUAAAAUUAAAGAAAAAGAAGGGAAAAACUAACCGUAUGAAUAUUGUGAAUAAACAUAUGGACGAUAAGCCCAUAGUUUUCUCAAAAAUAAAAUUUGUUUAACUUUGUAGAUGUGAAGAAAUUUAAGGAUCUUUAGUUUGGACUCUUUUUUGUUUUUUUAAGUCGACAAAAGUUAGUCUUAAUAAUAUUUAUUUUUUAUUAUUUGAUGUGAUGUCGUAAACUUUUACCAUUCCGUCACCACCGAAAAUACGUUUAUAGCAAACGUGAGGAUUAAUUAAUUAGCACAGGGAAAAAAUGAAAAUGAGUAAAUGAGUAAUACAUUCAUUUUUAUUUUUUGUUUGAAAAAAUGAAAAACAUAAUUCCGAAGUGGUCCUGACCACUUGAAAUUUUUUAAAAAAUGAUAAAUAUUAUUUGGAUAUGAUAUCAACUCAAAAUUCAAACAAAUCUUACAAACAACUGGGGAAAAAUGGUGAAUUCCAUUCCUUAACCGUGGUUUAUUAAAUUUAAAAAAAAAACUAGUGAAAAAAGAUGAUAAUUAAAUUAAUUUUAAUGGAAACAAAGUCACAAUAGUAGAAGUGACAAUUUCGGCACGAUUAGCUAAUUAAUCAGACACAAACACAAGACAAAUUAAUGAAUUUGGAUUUACUAAAAUUGACAUGAUUUUCAACUUUGAUCAAUUAAAAACCUUUCAUUUCGUAUCAUCGGACCCACUAUUAAUCAUCAUAAAUUAUAGUCAACAGACGAUCGAUUUCAGAGACUCAAGACUACUAAUGAUAAGCCUUUGCAUGCUCUGUACAUAUGCCGUGUCAGAAAAUUAUUUCUUACUUUUUAACAUAAGAAUGACGAAAGAGUGAUGUAUUUUUGGACACUGUUCUAAGUCAACUAAAAUUAAAAAUUGGCCAUAUAUCAUUAUAAUGGAUAUCAAGAUAAUUUGAACUCUUAGUUGUUGGAUAAAAAAAUAUUGUUAUCUUUAUUUUUGUUCGCAGAAUGGUUAUUAGUAUAGUUCUUUUAAAGUUCUCAAAAUUUUCAUUUAAAAAAAAAUGUUCCUACAAUAUACCCAAAAAAAAUAAAAAUUGAACCCCAAAAAGAGAAAACUAUUUUUUAAAAUAUAACACAGAUAAUAUCGGUGAGAGUAAUUUAGGUCAAUUCAAAAUCGCUAAUUCGGAGUCAGAUUCAUGUAUUAAUUGUAUCAUAAGUUACCAUCUCUGAGUACGACUAUGGCGUGACAGAGGCUAAUGGAAACUCCAGACUAGUGAGAGUCUAUCGUUACUGAAAAAUGCAUGAAUGGCAUGGAUGCAAAAGUAAUAAAAUUUGGAACUGAUGAUUAAGCCAUUGGCUAACAAAAAUUAACUUCUGAAGAGGCAAGGUCCCUCAAAAAAAAAAAAAAAUUCUUUAAUUUGUUCCAUUGUUUGGUUUGACAAAAUAUAUCAUCUAAAAUUUGGAACUGAUGAUCUAUCGAAGUUGACCUGUGUUUAUAUUUCCUUUCAUUUUCUAUAAUUUGUCAUCUAAUGGGUCAAUGAAUUAAUUUUCUUCUUCUUCUUUUUUAUCCUUUCCGCACUUGAAUUUCCCUUCACGGCAAGUUGAGUAUUCUGCAUACUUUAGGGAAUGUCAUUGUCUUGAUGACUUUUCACUACAACUCUAAAAUUUUCCUCCCCACGGCAUUUGAAUUUUCUUUGUAAACCGCGCACUCGUUGGCUGAGUGAUGACACCUCCUCAACUUAAUUAUUCUCAAGGUCAAGAAUUCGAGUUUUACUCCUUUAGGUUUCUUAGCCGAGCUGCCAAUGCGCCAAUUUGUAAUGAGCUUUACCUGAUGGUCUCUGAGAUGGGCUCUAAUUAGUGCACCUAAAUUCCUCUUAUGUUAGAAACUAAAGUUUCUAAAACUUUUUAACUUGUUUAAAUUAUCCUCCAGCAGUGCCUUGAAUGAGAUCUUCUACUCCAUCAAUGCUUGUAUGUUGUGUUUCAUUUGGGGAUUAGAUUUCCCAGUACGUAGACAGAGAACUCUGACUCUGUUGUCCGAUGUCUCUGCAUUUUCUUGAACUCUCUACUCUGACUCUCAUCGUGUAAUUAAGGAGGAUUAAAGUAAAAGAAAAGGGUAGAACCAGUUCUCCCUAUUUGUUGCACUAGCUAUCAGAUUUCCAUAUUAUACUAAUUAUUGGCCAAAAACAUUUUUUUUAUUUAAAUUGUCAAAAAGACUUGAAUGUUCUCAUCCUAAAAUAAGUUCCAUUAAAACAAUCAUAAUAUUUAUGGAAUGUUUAUAACUAGAAUGAGUGCUCCUACUUAAACUAGUAAAAUCUCUUGAACUAAUUUAAAUGUUCAAUCCUGCUCACAUGAGUGAGGAGAGGGUAUUUGUUUUAAAUUUUAUUGUAUUGAAUUUCGCACUUUCAAUACUUCAACGCAGUUAUUACGAUUUCAUCAAGUUUACGAUGUUAAUGAUCAAACAGUACACUUUCUAAACUAACUAAAAUAGUACCUAGCUAGCUAAUUAGAUAACGGAUUAAUGGAAUGGAUGUGGGUGUCUAGUUUUAGAGUUUGAAAUUUUUUUUUAAAUUAAUCAAAGAAAGCAUAUUUUUAAUUUUGAGUUAUUGUACUAUUAAUUAAUAAUUUAAUUAAAAAAUUUAUUUAUUUGCUAUCAUAAUAGUUGUUGAAAAUGCCUUUAAUAGGGGUUGGUUCAAUAUUUGGUUAGAGUCUGAUUUCAUGCUGGCGAUCCAACUUCUUCUUUUCAUCCCUCUUUGACCAUUUGAAAUGUACUUGCAUUGCAAAUGUCUGUAGUCAAACUUGGGUCUUCAAUGUACUCACAUCCCUUGGUAGGAUUUCUCUCCUUCAAAGAUUAGCGCUCUUUCUUCUCGAGAUGCAAAUGGCUUUUCAAAUUGUCAUUUUUGUUAAUGUAGGUCCUACAUUCAUGGUUUUCUGAAGAUUUUAUAUCAUCUUAGCUUUAUGCAUUUAAAGAGUAAGAUUUUAUAUCACCUUAGCUUUAUGCAUUUAAUGAGGGAUAGGGUUUACUAUAUCCCCUAAUUAAUUGUGUUAAGUCUACUAUUUAUCGAGUUGACAUCUUAUAGCAAGUUUAGUAUUGAAAUUUUAUUUACUAAAUAUCAUGUAAUAGUGAAACGACCCGCCCCAAACCCCAGGGUGAGUCUAUCUAAUCUCAUCAAAACUGGAUUGAUAAUAAUGUAAUUGUUAAAGAUUCUGCCGAAAAUUCAGCAAAGUUUCCUUUAUAAAUAUAGCACUCCCAAUCUGAAAAUAUGUAAAACAAGCACUUCCAAAAUAAUUCAAUUUACAACAAACUCCAAUAAUCAACAUCCUCAACUAAAAUGCUGAGUUUUUCUCAAGACAUCUCCAAAGUCUCAAAGAAUAAUAUUAUAACUAAUAUUAAUAUACCUCAGUUUAUUUUUAAUCCUAAAAAAAUAAUAUAACAAAAUUAUACAAUCCCAAAAGAACGAGAUAACCAUCAUGUCCUAACAAAAAGCAUCUAUAUCUUCUAACACCAUCACGUGGCCAAGACUCAAAAUAUAUUUACAGUCGUUAGGUCGGUCUAGUGUACUUGCAACCUCCUGGUGGGGGGGGGGAAUAUAAUAAAAACGGGAUGAAUAUAAAACUCAGUGAGUGGAUAGUAAUUUUUGAAAAUUAAUUCUUAUUUUAAAAGAAAUAAUCAUGUCAUUUCCAAACACAAUUUUAUUAAACCAUAUGUGAGAAACCAGUAAUAAAUCAUUUAACAUUUAAAUCGGAUUACUAACCAUGAAAAGCAUAUACAAUAUCGUACCUAAUAACCAUGGAAAUCAUAUCACGAUAUUAUAUAGAAUACACAGAUCUGAAAAAUCAUCACCAAACAAGUACCCAGGGGAAUAAUCUCGUCGUAUUUAGACCUCAAUGGACAGGCAAUGACGUACUAUCUAGGUACCGUCACCCCCCAGAGCUACACGGAUAGACAAGGAAAUACCAUCUCAUAUCUCAUCAUAUCAUCUCAUCAUAUUUGUGCAUGCAUAAUCUAGUCCCCAAAGGACAAAAGCACCCAAGCACACGGCCCAAAGUCUCUAUGUGUACUCAGACGAGCCCCAAAGGCCUGUAUCUCAUCUGUGUCAUAUGUAUCUCAAUAUCUGUCUGUAUCUCAUAUCUAUAUCUCUGUAACCAUCAUACCGCAUGCAUAUCCCCCCAAAAGGCAAAAGCGCCCAAAUACACGGCCCAAAGCCUCUAUGUGUGUUCAGACGGGCCCCAAAGGCCUCUCAUCUCAUCUGUAUCACUGUAUCUGGAGGGAAGGGUAUUGUCCAAUGAUUUUAAAAGCAAUCUCUAUACUCAUAUUCAUAUACAUUAUAAUCAUAUCUUUCUUUUCAUUAUCACAUCUAAAUCCACUUUUCUCAUCUUUAAGAUACUCUCAUAUUUUAUUCAAGUCUGUACGGAAAACCAUUAACCAAACAUUUUAAUAUAAUGUUAAUGCGUGAAUAAAAUCUAUUUCGAGAAAAUCAUUAAAUCAGAAUAUUUAAAAUACUUAUUUCGCAAACAUGCUUUACUAUCAUAAUUAACUAUGAAAAUAGGUUUUGUAUAUUCCAUUCAUAGUGACGGUGUUCACGUCCGGUUAUCGUCCACGUUCGCAGACUGCUUAUUGCUUGCGGAUCCUCCUAAAUCAAGGAAACGACAUAAUUAUUUUUCAUAAAUUGGAAUUACGACUAAAUUUAUACAAUAAACUUGAAACGAACAUCUAUCCAUAAUUUACAACUCCCGUGUCGAUAGAGUUACCAAAAUACCCUUGAAUCCGUAAAUCAUUAAAUACUCUGAAAUCGUAAAUCACCGAAUUACCCUUAGAAUCAUAAUUACACUCAAUCCUCAAUUUUAGGAAUUACUAAAAUAUCCACAGGCUCAUGAAUUACAAAAUCAAUGAAAUGACAUAAUUAUUUUCCAUAAAUCGGAAUUAUGACUAAAUUUAUACAGUAAACUCGAAACAAACAUCUAUCCAUAAUUUACAACUCCCGUGUCGAUAGAAUUACCAAAAUACCCUCGAAUAUGUAAAUCAUGAAAAUACUCUGAAAUCGUAAAUCACUGAAUUACCCUCAAAAUUGUAAUUACACUCAAUCCUCAAUUUUAGGAAUUACUAAAACAUCCACAGGCUCAGGAAUUACAAAAUCACCCUCAAAAUGUGAAAUUACUGAAUUGCCCUUGCCGGUCAAUGGUGGCCGAAAUUCAAGCAACAGUGACCGGAAAGCUCAGGUUAGACACUUCUCGCUGAGCUAAGUUCAAUGAUACUGGCGGUGUGCUCCCACGCUUGGCGACGACACCGGAAUCUAGCUCGACAGCCCUGUAACUACAACGGCUGAACCACAGCAAAUCGACAGCUCUCGGUGGCUGUGGAUGGUCGGAAAAUCAAAAGGGAGUUGUGGGGAACAAAAUCCAGCCAGUGGUGUCACCCAAAACCGCCGAAAAUCUCGACAGAGCAAAGUGGAAAAGUCGCGGGUUUUUCAAGCUUUGGUCGCCGAUGUUCUGGUUGUUUUUCGAUAACGUGGACGGCUGGGGUAUGAUGGCCAGACUUCAAGCCUCAGAUUGGUACCAAGCUUGACCGGUGGAGUGGCCGAAAUCGUAAGAUAUGGCCGAGUCAAUUUCGGGUCAAACAGGUCGGGUUUUUGGGUCGGUUUUGACAGCUUCUCUCUCACUCUCUCACACGUGUAUUUGUUACCCCAUUUCCAGCUUCUUCAUUUACUUUUUAACCGCCUCACCUCUUUUUUUUCACAUAUGUUACAAUCCUCCCCACUUAUAAAAAUUUUGUCCUCGAAAUUUACGUACCUAAUAAGAAAAGAUAAGGAUACUGAGCUCGCAUUAAGUCUUCGCAUUCCUAUGUAGCCUUUUCCUUUGUAUGAUUCCUCCAUCGUACUUUUCCUAGAGGAAUGGUCUUAGAACGCAGAACUUGGUGUUUCUCUUCUAGUAUCUCCACUAGUUCCUUUUCGUAAGUCUAAUCUUCCUUCAACUGAAUUGGUUGCUUCGAUAACACAUGGUUCGGAUCAUAUAUGUACUUUCGGAACAUUGAGACAUGAAACACAUCGUGGACUCUGGAUAACUCUGGUGGUAGAGCUAAUCGAUAAGCUAACAGACCGAUGAGCUCAAUGAUCUCAUAAGGCUGAAUGUAACGUGGUCUUAGCAUCCCACGUUUCCUAAAUCAAAGCACCCCUUUCCAAGGAGAUAUUCGUAUGAAAACUCUAUGACCAACUUCAAAUUCAAGUUCCUGCCUACGCUUGUCUGCAUAACUCUUCUAUCUAUCUUGGGCCACUUUUAAUCUAUCCUGGAUCAAUUGUAUCUUGUCGUCAACUUGGUGCCUACAGCAUUUUGCAAGCUGGUCCAGAACUUAGAAGUAAACCGGGAAUCUCUAUCUGAGACUAUGGACACGGGUACUCCAUGAAGUCGAACUAUCUCAGCCAUAUAAAUACUCCCUAACUUGUCCAUCGAAUAGGUGGUUUUGAAUGGUAAAAAGUGAGCAGAUUUUGUAAGUUGAUCAACAACCACCAAAAUACUAUCAUGUCCUUUCUGAGUACGUGGAAGUCCCGCUAUAAAAUCCAUAGUGAUGUGCUCCCAACUUCCACUCAGGAAUAGAAAGCGACUGAGAACACCUUGUAGGCCUUUGGUGUUCAGCUUUAAUCUGCUGACAGACUAAACAUCGAGAAAUAAAUUCUGCUAUCUCUCUCUUCGUGCCCUUCCACCAACAAUGAUCCCUCAGGGUGUUGUACAUCUUCGCCCUACCAUGAUGCAUCGCAUAAGCCGAACAGUGAGCUUAUUCCAUAAUCUCUUCUUUUAGAUCCUUAAUAUCAGGUACACAGAGUCUAUUACCCAUGACUAAGACUCUGUCGUCUCUUACCGUAAAAUCGGUUCGUAAACAUUUUUGCACAUCCUCUUUCAACUUCAUUAAUUGUGGGUCCUGAGCUUGCAUUUGGUGAACUUUGUCAAUCAAAGUCGGCCUAACUCGAAAGUUAGCUAUUAAAGCUCCACAAUUGUCAGCGUUCAACUUGACUUCCAAAGAUCUCAACUCGAUCAACAGAGGCAUAUAUGUCAUUCGUAAGUGAGCUAUAAAGCUGGAAGACUUUUUACUUAGUGCAUCAUGUACCACAUUCGCUUUGCCCGGAUGAUAAUCAAUAGUGCAAUCGUAGUCCUUAAUUAGCUCGAUCCAUCUCCUCUAUCUCAAAUUUAGCUUUUUCUAAGUAAAUAAAUACUUGAGACUCUCAUGAUGGGUGAAAAUCUAACACGUUGCCCCAUAUAGGUUAUGCCUCCAUGUCUUGAGUGCCAAUACCACUGCUGCUAGCUCUAGGUCAUGUGUUGGGUAGUUUUGCUCAUGCUUCUUAAGUUGUCUAGAACCAUAAGCCACCACUUUAUCAUGUUGUAUUAACACACAACUCAAUCCUUGCCUAGAGGCAUCGUUGUAUACCACAAAUCCUUCAUUACCAAAUGGAAGUGUAAGAACUUGUGCUGAGGUCAAACGUAUCUUAAGUUCUUGAAAACUCUUUUCACAAUCAUCAUCCCAUUAAAACUUAGCAUUCUUUUUGGUUAACCGUGUUAGAGGAGUAGCAAUCUUAGAGAAUCCCUCCACAAAUCUACGAUAGUAGCCAGCCAACCCCAGGAAACUUCUAACCUCUGUGACAUUUGUAGGCCAUUCCUAUUUCACAACAGCUUCAAUCUUUUGAGGAUCAACAUAAUGCCUUCAGCUGAUAUCACAUGGCCUAAAAAUACUACUCUGUCCAACCAGAACUCGUACUUGCUGAACUUGGCAUACAACUGCUUUUGUCUCAAAGUCUGUAAAACAGUCUGCAAAUGCUCUGCGUGCACCUCCUCACUUCGAGAAUACACCAAGAUAUCAUCAAUGAAUACAAUCACAAACCGAUCCAGGUACGGGCGAAAUACCUUAUUCAUAAGGUCCAUAAAAGCUGCUAGAGCAUUUGUCAACCCAAAUAGCAUCACCAAGAAUUCAUUUGUCCAUAAUAGGUUCUAAAUGUUGUUUUAGGAACAUUGGCCUCUUUAAUUCUAAGCUAAUGGUACCUCGGGCACAAAUCGAUCUUAGAAAAUACUUUCGCCCCCUGAAGUUGAUCAAACAAGUCAUCAAUACACGGAAGUGGAUACUUAUUGUGUACCGUAACUUUUUUCAACUGUCUGUAGUCGAUGCAAAGUCUAAAAGUCCCAUUUUUUUUCUUAACAAACAAGACUGGAGCUCCCCGCGGGGACACACUAGGUCUAUUAAACCCUUUAUCUACCAACUCUUGCAAUUGAAACUUCAGUUCCUUCAACUCUGCUAGAGCCAUCCUGUAUAGUGCCAUAGAUAUAGGAGAUGUUCCAGGGACUAAGUCAAUAGAAAACUCAUCUUCCCUGUUAGAUGGCAUCUUAGGAAAUUCAUCUGGAUGGCCUACUACUAGAGCCACCCUCUGCCCAGCUCUGGCUAUGCUUCUGCUUCAGUGCACAAACUUUGCAUCCCUCUGAAAUAUUGUGCUCUACUCUCCUGGCUGCCUCAACUACCUCUCCAAACUCAGUGUAUCGUAAUGCAGUCACGGUGGUACGAAUCUCAAAUCGGAGGCUUUCCUCAAACCAUUUGCAUCUCUCUUUCUCAUCACCGACUACAGAUGUAGCAAAUCUAAAGAGGUCUAAAAAUUUCUUCUCAUACUCCUCAACUGUCAGGGAUCCCUGAACUACCAGAAGGGAUUCACUCCGUUUAAUAUCCUAAUACACAGCUGGAAAAUAAUGAUUGUAGAAUUCCUUAUGGAAAAUGCUCCAAGUAAUCGCAGCAUGCCCCUGAUAUCAUCUUUCCACUGUCUGCCACCAAUGGUAAGCUCUAUCCUCGAGCAAGAAAGUGGCAAAGGAUAAUCUGUCAUCCUCUGAACACUUCAUCAUGUCAAAAGUACGCUCUGACUUAACAAACUAUGACUCAGCCUCAAGUGGUUCUUCGGAAACAUUUAAGUUUCUCACUCGCUCAAUAAUGAUUGCAUUGCCAGCAUGCUCUUGAGUCUGAUUCUGCACAACUGUAGUCAUGAUCUGAGCUAGCCUAUCAAAUGACUGCUCAAUAUUUGGGGCAAUCCCUGGCGCCUAUUGUGCAAUUUCAUAUGUGGAGGAUUCAACUACCCCUCUUUCACAAGUUCACUUUCCCCCAUAGGUACCCCACUAGAAGACAACCCAACUACUGGCCUAGUACGGCCACGACUACGUCUACUGCUACGACAAAGCAUGAUGGUGCCUACAAGAUAUAAAUUCUAACUUUAAUAAAAAAAAUAAAACUUAUUCUUACUAAGGUAGUAAAGUCUGCAAAAUCUAAAACCAUGCUCUAAUACCAACUUAAACAACCAGCCCCAAACCCCAGGGUGAGUCUAUCUAAUAAUAAUCUAAUUGGUAAAGAUUCUGCCGAAAAUUCGAUAGAGUUUCCUUUAUAAAUAUAACACUCCCAAUCUGAAAAAAUGUAAAACAAGCACUUCCAAAAUAAUUCAAUUUACAACAAACUCCAAUAAUCAACAUCCUCAACCAAAAUACUAAGUUUUUCCCAAGAUAACUCUAGAAUCUCAAAGGAUAAUAUUAUAACUAAUAUUAAUAUACCUCAAUUUAUUCUUAAUCCCAAAAGAAUAAUAUAACAAAAUUAUACAAGCCCAAAAGAACGAGAUAACCACGAUGUCCUAACAAAAAGCAUCUAUUUCUUCUAAUACCAACACGUAGCAAAGACUCAAAAUGCAUUUACAGUCGCUGGGUUGGUCUGGUGUAUCUGCAACCUCCUGGUGGGGGGAAAAUAUAAUAAAAACGGAAUGAGUAUAAGCCUUAGUGAGCUCAAUGAGUGGAUAGUAAUUUUUGAAAAUUAAUUCCUACUUUAAAAGAAAUAAUCAUAUCAUUUCCAAAUACGAUUUUAUCAAACCAUAUGCGAGAAACCAGUAAUAAGUCAUUUAACAUUUAAAUCAGAUUGCUAACCGUGAAAAGCAUAAAUAAUAUCGUACUUAAUAACCAUGGAAAUCAUAUCACGAUAUUAUAUAGAAUAUACAGAUCUGAAAAUCAUUACCAAACAAUUAUCCAGGGGAAUAAACUCGUCGUAUCCAAACCUCAACGGACGGGCAAUGACUUACUAUCUAGGUACCGUCACGCCCCAUAGCUACACGGAUAGACAAGGAAAUACAAUCUCAUAUCUCAUCAUAUUUGUGCAUGCAUAAUCUAGUCCCUAAAGGACAAAAGCGCCCAAGCACAAGGCCCAAAGCUUCUAUGUGUACUCAGACGAGCCCCAAAGGCCUGUAUCUCAUCUGUAUCAUCUGUAUCUCAAUAUCUGUCUGUAUCUCAUAUUUGUAUGUCUGCAACCAUCAUACCCCAUGUAUAUGCCCCCAAAAUGCUAAAGCGCCCAAACACACGGUCCAAAGCCUCUAUGUGUGUUCAGACGGGCCCCAAAGGCCUCUCAUCUCAUUUGUAUCAUUGUAUGUGGAGAGAAGGGUACUGUCCAAUGAUUUUAAAAACAAUCUCUAUACUCAUAUUCAUAUACAUUCUAAUCAUAUCUUUCUUUUCAUUAUCACGUCUAAAUCCACUUUUCUCAUCUUUAAGAUACUAUCAUAUUUUAUUCAAGUCCAUACGGAAAACCAUUAACCAAACAUUUUAAUAUAAUAUCAAUGCAUGAAUAAAAUCCAUUUCGAGAAAAUCAUUAAAUCAGAAUAUUUAAAAUAUUUAUUUCGCAAACAUACUUUACUAUCAUAAUUAACCAUGAAAAUAGGUUUUGUAUAUUCCACUCACAGUGACGGUGUUCACGCUCGGUUAUCGUCCACGUCCGCGGACUGAUUAUCGCUUGCAGAUCCUCCUAAAUCAAGGAAACGACAUAAUUAUUUUCCAUAAAUUGGAAUUACGACUAAAUUUAUACAAUAAACUCAAAAACGAACAUCUAUCCAUAAUUUCGGGUCAAACGGGUCGGGUUUUUGGCUCGGUUUUUACAGCUUCUCUCUCACUCUCUCACACGUGUAUAUGUUACCCCAUUUCCAGCUUCUUCAUUUACUUUUAUUUACUUUUUAACUGCCUCACCCCUUUUUUUCACAUAUGUUACAAAUAGGGUUUAAUUUAUUCAAUUCCUAGCUAAUUUAGUUAAAUUCCAAUUUAUUAGGAAUAUCGUUUCCUGGUUUUAACUAGAUGUCUAAUUUAGCAAGUCAAUUAGUGACAUGAUUUUUAUAAAUGGUGCGUGGGAUUUAUUUAGAGGAAGAAGUUAGUUCAAACAAAAAGUUUAUUAAAUGCUCUAGAUAUUUCUUAGGAGAUAAGUAAGGUAAGCAUAUCAUUUUUAUUCCUAUUCAGAUUUAUAGGAAUUAUAAGAGGAAAAAAAUUCUUAUUUGGAAAGAAUCCUAGGCUUUUAACGACAGUCUUAAUAAAUUUUUUCACAUCAGCCUCAUACUCAUCAAACAAUAUAUCAUAUUUAAUCCAAGAUUUAUCCAUUUUUGUUUAGUACCUGACAUAUAAUUGAGACAAAUUUCAACAUAAUGUACUAAUGGGCAGCAAUGAUAAAUAGUUUCCAUUAUCAAUAAAUUAAGCAACAAAACAUUAUUAAUAUUCAGUUUAUAAAUUUAAUGAAAUAAAUAAAUUUAAAAAUAAAAACUUGUCAUCAUGUGCAACAAACAUAACUUCACCAACGUGCUGUCAUCAUUUACCAAAACCCACUAAUAAUAUCCUAAAUAAUUUAGCCCACAUACAUUUAACAUUUAUUUAAAAGAAAUUUUAACAAUCCGGUAUUUCAUGGACCGCAACACUAUAUAUAUAUAUAUAUAUAUAUAAAUACAAACGCAACUAUACAUUCCUUGGUCCACAUGACCAAACUUACCAUUUCUUUCAAACAUAAAAAAAAAUUGAAAACGGGGGCCUCACUUUUCAACUCAAUAAAAUACACUAGAAAGUAUUGAAAAAGGGGGCCUCACUAUUCAAGCGUCACCAUUAGCUUGGAUGUAUGUAAAGAUGAUUUGAACCCAUAGUUGUUGCAUAAAAACCUUUGUUAUCUUUACUUUUGUUGUCAAAAUUAUUAUUGUAAUUUUUUUAAUGGUAGAAGUAGAACCUAAUCCCUCACAAUUAUCAUUUAAUAAUAUGUUAAUUACCAAACACUAUUAUUUUUUUAUUCAUACCUAGUAGUGAUUUAAAUUUGAAAAGCGACAAAACCAGAAACCAAUUUUUAAUAUAUAAUAAACCAAUUAUUAUUAUUUUUUUUUACGGUGAAAUGUAAGGAUCCAUUUAAAAAAAAAAAACACCAACAUUACAAUGACUGAAUUAGAAACGAAAAUCACAGCAACAUUAUAAUUGCAUUCAGUCUCUACGUCUCCUCCUCCUCCUUGUUGCCUUUUGCUGCGUUCCCAACUUCUCCAGAAUCCAUCCGAUAAUUCCUGUGCUGAAGUUGAACCCGAGAACCAAUCCUGCCACAAGUCCGCCCGCAUAGCCAGUCAGAAUGAUUUUCCAAUCAGAUGCGCCUGAAAACAGGGACUCCUCCGAGCCUUCAGUAUGAUCUUCAUUUGUUGCAGCUUCACCACUCUCACAUCCUUUGGACAAUGGCUUUCCACACAAUCCUGAGUUGCCGUCGAAAGAAGUAUUGUCAAAUGUAGCAAAUUGCUUUCCUUGUGGUAUAGGCCCUGUAAGGUAAUUGUCUGAGACAUUGAAGAAUUCGAGAAAUGUGAGCUCAACCAAUUGUUGAGGAAUCCGUCCUGAAAACUUGUUAUUUGAGAGAUCCAGUGAUUCCAAAUUUGUUAGAUUGCCCAAACAUGACAGAAUAAGGCCUUGGAGAUUAUUGUGCUGGAGGUUUAGAACUUGAAGUCCCUUUAAAUUUGCAAUCGAUGCUGGAAUCGCCCCAACAAAUCUAUUAUUUGAGAGAAUAAUGCCCGCAAGGAUAUCCGGAAUCUUUUUAUAUGUCAUCAUUCGCCCUUUGCUGCUCAUUGUCAUUGAGUAGUCAUAAGUGCUAAGUACAUUAUUGGUCACUUGUCCAUACGAAGAAAGCACAUCUUGCAGAUAUCUUAGCUCACUUGUAUUGACAAUUUUCAUGGCAUUCCAACACAGGAAACUCUUUGAUGGAAGCUUUCCAGUAAAUCUGUUGUUAGAUAGGUCAAUAAUGCGGAGUUUAGAAAAUCCACAACCAGUUCUGGGUUCUUCUAUAACACCAUAAAAUAUGUUGGAUCGUAGGAUGAGAACAUUCAAUUUUGGAAGAGUUCCUAACCAAGAGGGAAAAGUGUCACUAAUCUGGUUGUUCCCAAGACUAAGAAAUUCCAACUUUGAACAGUUGAUCAAUGAUCUUGGAAUUCUUCCUUGAAACAGAUUAUGGCUUAAAUCAAUCACGCCUAAUCUACUUUCUUUAAUGAAAGUAUUUGGGAUGGUCCCAAAGAAGUUGUUCCUCUGCAAGUCGAGCACUGAAAGUUCAUCGCUGAAAUUGCCUAAACACUGAGGAAGCAAGCCACUUAAGUUAUUGUGAGACAAAACAAGGCUUUCAAGAAUAUUCAAAUUGCAUAUCCACGAUGGAAUUUCCCCUGUUAAGCUAUUGUUUGAAGCUAGAUAGUUAACGGUUCCGAGGGGUGGAACUGGGAGUGGUCCUUGUAAAUUAUUAGAGCUAAGAUCAAAAGUCACCAAAUCACCGAUAUUCCCUGGAAGAAGAACAGGAUGCUGAUCAAACCCGGUUAACAAGUUAUGCGAAAGGUUCAAGGCAUUGAGAUUAUGCAUAUUGGGGUCUAACAACCAUUUAGGUACUUUUCCCUGAAUUUUAUUGUCAGAAAGGUCCAGGACCACCAAAUGACUUUGGUUUUCCAAGAAAUUUGGAAAUUUGGUAAGAUUACAUGAACGUAGUCCUAUGUACUGAAUUUUCUGUGAAGUGGUAUUAGAAGUGGCUUUGGUGAGCACUGACAACCUAUUUAAUGAGAGACCUAAAACUUCCAAAUUUUUCCAGCAAGUAAGUAAAACAUCUAACUCUAUCGUUCCGCUAAAAGAAUUUCGAGCCAAGUCAAGGACGAAAAGUUGGGUAAGAUUCCUAAGUGAAGGUGGAAUUUGACCUGCAAAAUUACACUUGGCGAUAUGUAUUACUUCCAAUGACCUAAGAUUUCCAAUGGAACCAAGUAUGUCACCGGAAAAAUUAUUCAAUCCAAGAUACAAAAAUUGUAGCCGGGUGAAAUUACCAAUCGAAUGUGGAACUUUGCCCCAAAAACUACAUGACCUUAGAUCUAAUAGCCUCAAAGAACUGAAAUUUCCAGUCGACCAUGGAAACUCACCCGAAAAUUUAUUGAAUGAAAGGUCAAGUUUUUCCAAAGAAAAAAGAUUUCGAAUGGAAGUAGGCAACUCACCAAAAAAUCCAUUUUGUGAAAGGUCGAGUUCUUUCAAAGAACCAAGAUUUCCCAUGGAAAUAGGCAACUCACCAAAAAAUCUAUUUUGUGAAAGGUCAAGUUCUUUCAAAGAACUAAGAUUUCCAAUGGAAAUAGGCCACUCACUCGACAAAAAAUUUGCAGAGAGAUCUAGUUCUUUCAAAGAAUGAAGAUUACCAACGGAAAUAGGCAGUUCACCCUGUAAUUCAUUUAGUGAAAGGUCUAAAUGAAGGAGUUUCGAUAGAUUACCGAGUGAAGAUGGAAUUCUUCCUGAAAUUUGUAAAAAAAAAAAAACACAUUGCUUAAGUAGAAAAUUAAAAAUAAUAAAAAAUUUUACUAAUGAAUUUAACAUCAGAAUUGGCAAUUUUCGAGUAAUAUAUAUAUAUUUAACAAUAACAUGCAUGUAUAUUAAUUAAGGAGAAAAUAUAUAGAAUUUAAUUACCUUGCAAUUCACAGUUUCGAAGAGAAACAAACGUCAAAGAAGAUAGAUUUGCGAAGUUAUGAGGUAUCGUUGACUGAAUAGAAACAUCACCAAGGUCAAGUGUUGUUAGAUUGCUUAACUUCUCGACUAAAUUUACGAAACUGGGCUUCUGAAGUUCCAGUCUACCAUCAGGAACAUCAUUUAGUGAUAAAUCAAGGGACACCAAGUUGGAGAGCCUUAGAAUUUCUGAUGGUAUUUGGCCAGAUAAAGAAGUUCCAGAGAGGUUCAAGUAUGAUAACCUGGAAAGGUUGAUGAUUUCUGGUGGGAUUUCGGAGGAAUUGAAGUCAUUCAAAGCAAGAUUAAGCCACUCAAGAUGGACAAGCUUGAAAAGGCUGCUGCUAGAGUUGAUAGAACCAAAAAGGCAGCUGUGGGAGAGGUCAAGCUUGAUGACAUGACCAGUGUUCUUAUUGCAAUGAACGCCGUCCCAAGAGCAGCAAUCAACGUUACCUUCUUCUGGCUUCCAUGAUGCCAUUGUAGGACGACAGUCAAAUUUCCAAGCAUAAAAAUCACCACUGAUGAUGCUUUCUUUGAAUUGCAACAAAGCAGAGCGCUCAUCAUAAUGGCAGAGUGGCAGCAUAGAAGAAGCAGUGACGUUAGCAAUUGUUAAAUUAAAGAAAAUGAAGGGAAAAACUAACCGUAUGAAUAUUGUGAAUAAACAUAUGGAGGAUAAACCCAUAGUUUUCUCAAAAAUAAAAUUUGUUUAGCUUUGUAGAUGUGAAGAAAUUUAAGGAUCUUUGGUUUGCUUUUAUAGGCAAAUUGCAGCAAUUCAAACAUUAUAGUCAUUGGACUCUUUUUUUAUAUUUUUAAAGUCAACAAAACUUCGUCUUAAUAAUAUUUAUUUUAUAUUAUUUGAUGUGAUGUCGUAAACUUUUACCAUUCCGUCACCACCGAAAAUACGUUUAUAGCAAACGUGAGGAUUAAUUAAUUAGUAAAUGCGAACAAUCGCAUCAAUACGGUGUCGGGCUGUUGGAUUUUUAAUUCUAACUUUAUUCUUUUUUUUCUUUUUCUUUCUUUUUUACUUUUCACUUCACUUUAACAAUCCUGGAUUGUGGGAAAAAAGUUCAUUCCUUUACAUCCCUUUUUCCACAUAAAUCUACUCAUAAAAGAAUUACAGAAAUGAUUUCUGAAUCUACAAAAUGGAAUCAAGUGAAUGCAAUCUUCCAAUCAUUCAUAUUCCCCUUUCCACAUAAAUCAACUCAUAAAAGUGAUGCUUACAAUUAUGUCCAGAUUCACACCAGUAUAGCAAAAUAAACUUCUUUUAGAUUUCCCAAAUAGACGCUGUUGGUUAUUUUGCAAAAAAAAUUCAGGAUCGAAGUAAAAAACAUAAAAUCUAAAAUAGGGUAAAAGCUUAUAACGAACAUAAAACAAAAUAAAGAAAGAGUAUACAUUAUGCUAUAAGUGUUUAAAGAAAAUUACGUACAGUGUCUUCUAUGUCUCCUGUUUCUCCUCAUUGUUUUUGGCCAUCCCAAAUUUCUCAAUCACCCUCCUGAGUAUUGAACAAGCAAAUAUUAUUAGUUAUAAUAAAUAACUUAAUGAUGAUAAUUUUUUUGUCACCAAGUCCUUAUCAAAAACCAUUAGACUACUCUUGCACUGGUGUUUACCGUAUGUGUAAUAAAUCAAUCUUUUUUUUUUUUUGGUUUGAAAAAAUGAAAAACAUAAUUCCGAAGUGGUCCAGACCACUUGAAAUUUAAAAAACAAAAUGAUAAAUAUUAUUUGGAUAUGAUAUCAACUCAAAAUACAAACAACUGGCGAAAAAUGGUGAAUUCCAUUCCUUAACCGAAGUUUAUUAAAUAAAAAAAAAAACUAGUGAAAAAAAAUGAUAAUUAAAUAAAUUUUAAUGGAAACAAAGUCACAAUAGUAGAAGUGACAAUUUUGGGCACCAUUAACUAAUUAAUCAGACACAAACACAAGACAAAUUAAUGAAUUUGGAUUUACUAAAAUUGACAUGAUUUUCAAUUUAGAUCAAUUACAAACCUUUCAUUUAAAUUAUAGUCAACAGACGAUCAAUUUCAGAGACUCAAGACUAGUAAUUAGAAGUCUUUGCACACUCUGUACAUAUGCCGUGUCAGAAAAUUAUUUCUUAGUUUUUAAGAUAAGAAUGACGAAAGAGAGAUGUAUUUUUGGACACUGUUGUUCUAAGUCAACUAAAAUUAAAAUUGGCCAUAUAUCAUUAUAAUGGAUGUUAAGAUAAUUUGAACUCAUAGUUGUUGGAUAAAAAAACAUUGCUAUUUUUAUUUUUGUUCACAGAAUUGUUAUUAGUAUAGUUCUUUUAAAGUUCUCAAAAUUUUCAUUUAAAAAAAAUAUGUUCCUACAAUAUACCCAAAAAAAAAAAAAUUGAACGCAAAAAAGAAAACAAUUUUUUAAAAUAUAACACAGAUAAUAAUGGUGAGAGUAAUUUAGGUCAAUUCAAAAUCGCUAAUUUGGAGUCAGAUUCAUGUAUUAAUUGUAUCAUAAGUUACCAUCUCUGUGUCUAUGGCGUGGCAGAGGCUCACGGAAACUCCAUACUAGUGAGUCUAUCGUUACUGAAAAAUGCAUGAAUGGCAUGGAUGCAAAAGUAAUAAAAUUUGGAACUGAUGAUUAAGCCAUUAGCUAACAAUAAUUAACUUCUGAAGAGGCAACGUCCCACCCCAAAAAAAAAAGUAAAAAAAAUGAUUUAAUGUGUUAUUAACAAUCUAUCCAGAAAAAAAAAAAAUUAUUCAAUAGGAUCUAUCGAACUUGACCUGCGUUUAUAUUUCCUUUCUUUUUCUAUAAUUUUUCAUCUAAUGGGUCAAUGAAUUAAUUUGCUUCUUUUUUCUUUUUUUUCCUCCUUUCCCCACUUGUAUUUCCCUUCACGGCCCGUUGAGUAUUCUGCAUACUCGAGGGUAUGUCAUUGUCUUGAUGACUUUUCACUACAACUCUAAAAUUUUCCUCCCCAUGGCAUGUUGAUAUUAACUCCAAAUUAGCAAUAUUAUCACUGUCACUCUUCUUUGUAAACUACGCACUCGUUGGUUGAGUGAUGACACCUCCUCAACUUAAUUAUUCUCAGGGUCAAGAAUUUGAGUUUUACUCCUAGAUUUCUUAGCCGAUCUGCCAAUGCGCCAAUUUGUAAUGAGCUUUAGCUGAUGGUUUCUGAGAUGGGCUCUAAUUAGUGCACCUAAAAUGUAACAAAUAUCUCACGUUAACAACCCAAAAUUCCAUAAUAUCAUGCAAAAUCAUUCUAGAAGUUAAAAUUAGGUGUUAAUCCGAUACAAACACCAGAAAAAUUAAUGAAAUUUGGAUUUACUAAAAUUGGCAUGAUUUUUUAAUUUAGAUCAAUUAAAAAUAUUUCAUUUUAUAGUGUCGGAUUCCCUAUAAGUCGUCAUAAAUCAUUAUCCAGACGAUCAAGGCCGGCGGAUAAAGACUCAAGACUAGAAUUAGAAGUCUUCGAGUACCAAUCAUAUGUCGUGUCAGAAAAUUCUUUCUUAGUUCAAGCCAACUAAAGUUGAAUUCGCCAUAUCAUUAUAAUGGAUGUUAAUAUUGCUAACUUGGAGUCAAAAGUCAUGCGUUGAUUGCAUUUGUAUUGUCUGAAUGACUAGGACGUGGCAAAGGCUCAUGGAAUAGAUCUGCUUCUUUUUUCUCCUUUCCCCACUACCACCAGUUCACUUAACUUUUCCUUCACGGCAUGCUGAAUGAGAUCUUCUACUCCAUCAGUGCAUUUAGGAUUAGAUUUCUAAUUUGUCCGAUGUCUCUGCAUUUUCUUGAACUUUCUACUCUUCCUCGUGUAAUUAAGGAGGAUUAAAGUAAAAGAAAUGGGUAGAACCAGUUAUCCCUAUUUGUUGCACUAGCUAUCAGAUUUCCAUAUUAUAGUAAUUAUUGGCCAAAAACAUAAUUUUUUAUUUAAAUUGUCAAAAAGACUUGAAUGUUCUUAUCCUAAAAUAAGUUCCAUUAAAACAAUCAUAAUAUUUAUGGCAUGGUCCUACUUAAACCAGUAAAAUCUCUUGAACUAAUUUAAAGGUUCAAUCCUGCUCACAUGAGUAAGGAGAGGAUAGGGUAUUUUUUUAAAAUUUUAUUGUAUUGAAUUUUGCACUUUCAAUACUUCUACGUAGUUAUUAGGGAAAAAGACAUUCAACCCCCCAACGUUUAGGAAAAGGGACAAAAAACCCCUCAACAUUUCAAAAAGGACUUAUAACACCCUUUCCGUUAAUAAACACCGUUUGUUUUAACAGUAAAUUUAUUUUUAAUUUUUAAUUACUAUUAUACCCUUAUAAUAAAUAUAAAUUAAUAUAUUGAUUUGAGACAUGUCACAAUUAAUAAUUUUUUUAAAACUAAAAAUUGAGAUACAAUUACAUUUUUGCCCAAAUUAUUUGCUAUAAAUUAUACAUUUCUAAUGAUCAAACCUUUCAUAUAUGAUUAUUACUAAUAAAACGAAAUUUGAUUAAACCCUUUUUCUUUGAGGAAUCAAAACGAUAUUAUUAUUGUUAGAAAGGUAUAAUUUAUAGUAAAUAAUUUUGGCAAAAAAAUAAUUGUAUCUCAAUUUUAAGCUUUUAAAAAAUUAUUAAUUGUGAUAUAUCUCAAAUUAAUAUAUUAAUUUUUUUAUAAGGGUAUAAUAGUAAUUAAAAAUUAAAAAUAAAUUUACUGUUAAAACAAACGGUAUUUGUUAACGGAAAAGGGGUUAUAAGUCCUUUUUAAAACGUUGAGGAGUUUUUUGUCCAUUUUCCUAAACUUUUGGGGGUUGAAUGUCCUUUUCCCUAGUUAUUACGAUUUCAUCAAGUUUACGAUGUUAAUGAUCAAACAGUACACUUUCUAAACCAACUAAAAUAGUACCCAGCUAGCUAAUUAGAUAACGGAUUAAUGGAAUAGAUGUGGAUGUCUAGUUUUAGAGUUUGAUUUUUUUUUUUAAUUAAUCAAAGAAAACAUAUUUUUAAUUUUGGGUUAUUGUACUAUUAAUUAAUAAUUUAAUUAAAAAAAAUUAUUUAUUUGCUUUCAUUCUAGUUGUUGAAAAUGCCUUUAAUAGGGGUUGGUUCAAUAUUUGGUUAGACUCUGAUUUCAUGCCGGCGAUCCAACUCCUUCUCUUCAUCCCUCUUUGACCAUUUGCAAUGUACUUGCAUUGCAAAUGUCUGUAGUCAAACUUGGGUCUUCAAUGUACUCACAUCCCUUGGUAGGAUUUCUCUCCUUCAAAGAUUAACGCUCUUUCUUCUCGAGAUGCAAAUGGCUUUUCAAAUUGUCAUUUUUGUUAAUGUAGGUCCUACAUUCAUGGUUUUCUUAAGAUUUUAUAUCAUCUUAGCUUUAUGCAUUUAAAGAGUGAGAUUUUAUAUCACCUUAGCUUUAUGCAUUUAAUGAGGGAUAGGGUUUACUAUAUCCCCUAAUUAAUUGUGUUAAGUUUAUUUUUUAUAGAGUUGACAUCUUAUGGCAAGUUUGGUAAAUUGAAAUUUUAUUUACUGAAUUUCAUGUAAUAGUGAAAUGGCCCGCCCCGAACCCCAGGGUGAGUCUAUUUAAUCUCAUCAAAACUGGAUUGAUAAUAAUCUAAUUAGUGAAAAUUCUGUCGAAAAUUCGGCAAAGUCUCCUUUAUAAAUAUAACACUCCCAAUAUGAAAAUAUGUAAAACAAGCACUUCUAAAAUAAUUCAAUUUAUAACAAACUCCAAUGAUCAACAUCCUCAACCAAAAUGCUGAGUGUUUCUCAAGAUAUCUCUAGAGUCUCAAAGGAUAAUAUUAUAAUUAAUAUUAAUAUACCUCAGUUUAUUCUUAAUCCCAAAAGAACGAGAUAACCAGGAUGCCCUAACAAAAAGCAUCUAUAUCUUCUAACACCA